AUAACACAUGUAAGCCUGUAAGCGUCCUCUACCCCGGAAGGGACAACUGCCCAGGAGCUACCCCCAAGUAGCUAAAAAUUCUCAUAUAAAAAGGUUAGAGGGGCAGGCGGAGUCCUAGAUCAAAGAGGUCAAUAUGGAGAGCAAUCCCAUCAGACUUCGGACACUCAGGUCGCUCAUCCACAUGGGGUACCCUAAGCUGGACAGACGGAGGAAUAUUGUAUUUGGCUCUAAUUUGUUCCAAAUCCUCCAAAGUAGCCCUCCUAGUGCCUAGGGAAAAAAGGUUGCCAGAUUUUGAAGGUGUGGCAGUGGGAGAUUUGAGAGGCUGGUCUGAGGAACGAGCUGGAACCUUAGCCUUGGUUGACCUACCCUUCUUUCGAGGAUGGUGGGUUGGCCGUUUACUGGGAAAACGUGGGCUGACACGAGGGGUACUCCUAGGGGGAUGGAGUUCAGAACGAGAGUUGCAACUCCUAGAGGUACUAGGGGGGACCUAUCCCCCUCGCUAAUGGAAAUGUGGGAAGGAAGACCCGCAGGAGGGCUGUCGACCCUACUAGCCCCAAUUGGAUGUCGCUUCCUCACGGGUCCCGUAUGUUUCUUGCCCAUCUACUUUCCCCCAACAACACAUUCACAAACCCCCAACAAUACAUCCAACAAGCCACAAGUUCCCCAACAACAAGCCACAAGUUCCCCAAACAGCAACAUAUUCAUACCAAGCACCACCCACCACACAUCAACCACCAAAUGCAAACACCAACCACAAAAAAAAAAAAAAAACCAAACAAACAAACAAAAACAAAAACAAAAAUAAUUUUUUCUCAGAGUAUGCAAAUAACGCCAUUGUAAAUGCGCCAAAAGGAGGAGAAAUGAUGAGGGAUACCUAUGAUUCACCAACUCAGCAGAUCGAGAUUGAUAAUCGUGGGGAGACGAAGCUGCAGGCAACAAAAAAAACAGUGGGUAAAAAUAUGCAAAUAUAAAAAUAAAAAUAAGCUUAAAUAUAUGUAAUUAUUUAUAAAUAAGUAAAUAAAUAAAAUUAAGAACAAAGAAGCUGCAGCAACCGGUGUCAGCUGUAAUGGCUGCAACCACCGAGAACCGACGCCGGAGAUCGCGAGAAGGACGCCAAGGGAGACGCUGCCGAAAACAAAAAAAAAGAGAAGCAAAUGAAAAAACGGAGAAGCUGCAGCAAACCGACGGGGGGGGGGGGGAGCUGCAGCCACCAAACCGACGCCGACCGCCGCAGCUGCAGCCACCAAAACGCGGAAAAUCUCCAAGAAGAACGCCGGCCGAAACGAAAAAGAAAGAAGAAAAAAAGAAAGAAGAAAAAAAAAAUCGAGAAGCUGCAGCCACCAAGAAAAAUCGGCUGCCAUGGCUGCAACCUCCAAAUCAACGCCGGCUGCUGUGGCUACAGCCACCAAGAAAAAUCGAUGCUGGAGAUCGCAAAAAGGAGAGAAAGAAGAGAGAGAGAAGGAGAAAGAGGAGAGAUGAAGUAAGAGAAAAAUGAGGAAACAAGGAAGGGGGAGGAUUUCCGCACUAUUGCCGGGUUGGAUCUCGCCGUGAGCCGCCGGAAAACCGCGUUGAACCAACCAGAUCUGGAACCAAAACCGCCACUGCAGCAGUCGAGAAAACACGCGAGAGAAUAUCGUCGGCCGAGAAAAGGAAUGAAAGAAGAAAGAAAAAGAAGAAAGAAAGAAAAUGGAGGAAGAAAAGAGAAGAAAGAAAACGGGAAGAUGAAAGAAAUAAAAAAAAGAGGAAGUGAAGAAAGAAUAAAUCCCAGGGAAGAACGGAAGUAAAAAAAAAGAGUAAAGAAGAAAUUUUUUACAUAUGAGCAAUGUUGAUGCAGUUAGGAGAAGAGACGAAAUUAUGAAAGAAAAAAGCUACUGAAAAUAAUCAAUUUUUGGGAGAUCAUUUGGGGAUUUUCAAAAUAAAUGAGAGAAGAUUGACACACGUCAGAGGUUUUUAAUUCAACCUGACAAAACACGUUGCCCAAGAAAGGAGUUCAGGGAUGUUUGAGUGAGAUUGGUAUUUUCAAAAUUCAAACUGCAUGUCAGACAGCUGCCAUUUCCCAAAAAAUAGGACAGAGACAUGAAGACAACUGUUCGUACUCAUCGUCAAAAAAAAAAAAAAGCGGGAAAAGGAAAAGACAAAGAGAAGAUUUUUAGUUCGAAGUACACAAAGUUUAGUCAAGGGAAGAAACUAAGCAAGGUACCCUCCGAUCCAGCCACGUCGCCACGUGUCACUCAUAUAAUGAGUUUCUUUUGCCUCCAAUACUUCUCGCCAAAAAGAAACUAGGGGGAUGUUGUUUGAGGGAAAAAUAGGAAAGGCAGUAAAGCACCACGUGUCGACCAACGGGAUGAUUCCAACACAAUCUGAGGUACCCCGCACCAUCCGAGGUGCCCGGCGUAAUUUGAGGUACCCCGCAUAAUUAGAGGUAUCCCACACAAAUAGAGGUACCCCACACAAUUAGAGGUACCCCAUAUAAAUAGAGGUACCCCACAUAAAUAGGGGUACCCCACAUAAUAAGAGGUAUCCCACGUAACUCGAGGUACCCGGCAGAACGGAUGCAAGAGAAUCCUCCAAAAAUAUCUGCCAUGAGAAACGUCUCCGCCUCCUAAAAGAUAUUAUUCGAUUUUGUCAGAAUUAGGAAUAAAAAACUAUGUGCUAAAAGGAGGGACAGCCGCUUGCCACCUCUGCUAAAAUGAAGGACAUUGUCCCAAGGACAGUGGUCCCCAGCCGCCUACCCGGCAGCUACUGCAGAGGUACCCUGGACCACUCUCCAGCGCGCGCCACGUUUCUAAAGGAUGAGAUACGCCGCGAACAUGCACAUAACGGCCCAAAAAUCAUAAAAACGGUAAAAGGACGUUAGCCAAAAAGGGUACGCCACGUGGCAGCUGAGGUACUCCAUAUAUAAAGGCGGCUAGGUUUCAUUCUCCAUUAUGCUCUCAUUCACCCAAAAAACACCCACACUUCGAAAAAGAGGUUUUCUUCAACCUUAAAACCUUAAUUUACAGAGGGCUAGCUAGAUCUCUUUGCCAUAAAAGCUUGAGUUUGCUAACUUGAGCGUCGGAGUGUGAACGCCGGGGUACCCCGGCUUCACCUCUAACCUCUAUUUCACUGUUUUGCAGGUGUGCAUUUCAUUUUGAAGGAUAUCUCUCUUGGUUUUGACCUUUCACCAUUAUUACCACUCUUUCUCCCCUUCUCACCUCCCCCGAAUUUCAGAUACACCACACCGCGCACAACAAACUAGUGAGGUACCCCAUCUCCCCCAAAAAUAUAAAUUCAUUGUUCAAGAUAGAUUUUGGCUUUUCCUACCCCAAAAUCCGUUGAAAACAACUCCCAUUAACCAACAAACAACUAAAAAUUUUCAAUAAAAAUUAUACUAAUAAAAACUAUAUUUAAAAGUUCAAUUUCAAUAAUAAUACCAAACAGAGGGCAAUAAUGGUGAGCAUUUGCUUCCUCUUCGAACCUGCCAUCCCAUGAAUCACUUGUUAUAUGUAACAAAUUGUUGGGAAUAAAAAGUGAUGGCGUAUCGUCAUCUUCAUCAGUUAUUAAUUCCCUUUCCAAAUUGAAAUUUCUUGUUGUUGGUUAAGAUUAAUGAAAAUGGCUCCUAUGAUUUUUUUCUGAAUUGUUGUAAUCCUUUUACUAUUCAAACCAUGAUGAAAUAAAUAAAAAACGACUACAAUAUUUAUUAAAGUAUAAUAUUUUCAUACAUUAACUAAACCCAAAAAAAAAAAAGUUAUAUUGUACUACUUCUAACUAUCAAAAUGCAACAUUCAUCAUUAUGUUAAUUGCCUUGUAAAACACGAAUGUAGUCCUCAAUGAAUAAAUCUAUGAAAUUAAAAAUUUAUUUAAAAAUAUUUAUACUUAAUACCCGAAGUCUACUAAAGUCAACGCAAUGUGUCCGACAUAAAAAUUUAUGUAUUUCACAUUGUCAUCAUGGGGAGGAAGCAGCUCUAAAACCAUUCAAACAACUAAUUAUUUUUGUAGUGCAAGCCAAGUUGAACAUGGCAUCGGAGAAGAAAGUAUGAUUUCUAUAAGAAAUUAGGCGACGAUCAAUAAGUCUGCAAAUAGACACAAGACGAUAUCACAAAUUUGAGCUGGAGUGAGGGAAGAUAACAACUUGAAUUCAAUGUGAGGUCCAAACAACCUGAAACGUUUCAAAAUAUUGCAAUGCAGUCUGGAAAUUAUACAGUAAAAGCACUUGCUUGACUAAGUAAUUCCAUUAGUUCUGCGUAUUCUUCACAAACAAGAAUCACAAGACACAAAACUUCAGAAAUAUACUAAAAUAACAUCCUCCUCAGACAUUAGCACCGAUGUAGAAUUUCUGACAGGUUGCAGAUACAAUAGAUUUUAAAAAAAAAUCAUCAAAGAAAUAAGAUUAUCAGAAUUGGUGACAAAAUAUAUGGUUUUUCUGCAAAAUGACUGGAUUCUGUACCAAAUGCCGAUGCCAAAGAAACAAAGAGAAAUUUGAAGGAACUCUCAAGGUGCAAAUUGUGAUGCCUUGCACUGGAUUCAUUUCACUCCAAUGCCUCGACUCCAUGCUUGUUUUCACCCUAGAAUAGAAAUACAACCAUUGAAUCAGAAUCAAUGUGAUGCUCUGUAAAACUUUAUACUUUCACAGAAAAAUGGAAAGUAAAUAUGAGAUUUUGUAACAAGCUGGUAGACAAGGAAAAAUAUAAAAACUCACCCUUGGAAGAUUUGACUACAAUAUUUACGGUCUUGGCCAUGCAUCCUCUGGCUUCAUCUUCAAAACUUUUUUUCAUAUCCACUAAGGUCAGUUCCUUCAAGUUGCUCAACUUAUUCAAUUCAGUAGGCAUCUUUAGUUUCGGGCAAUUCCUGAUCUCUAGUUCUUCUAGUGCAGUCAUGGCUCCUUCCUUGAUAGUCCACUCUUUCAGCUCCUUCAGCACCCAUAACUUCAAGACACGAAGUUGAGGAAAUCCACCAUUGCCACAAGUCAUUUUCUCCCCUAUGUAAGAAUGAGCGAAAAGCCUGAGAGCUUUCAGUUCUGUUAGCUGUCCAAGCACUGGCAUUGGGUCUUCUGAUAGGUAUGACAACGACAAAGUAAAGAUUCUGAGAUUUGGGGGAAGCUCUUCUAGUUUAAAUGGUCCUGGUAAUCUUCCUAGCAAAUACAGCUCUUUCAGCUCCUUGUGAUUUUUCAGAGAUCCAAUAGCAAGGUCUGAGGGUCCAUAAAAAUCAUUUAUUGAUCUCAACCUCAAAGACUCAAGACUUGUCAGUCCUUGAAUCAAAUUUGUUAUCUUCCCAAGUGAUGCAAUAUUGCAGAUCAGACCCAAAUUCUUAAGACCACUCAAGUUUUCCAACCAAUUCAAUGGAGGACUCUUUUUGCCGAUUGAUAAGCCCCACAGUGUCCGAAGGUUAGUUAAAGAAGGUUUAACAAAUGGCUUCCGAACUGACAUUUGCAAAUGAAUAUCAUUCAAAUAGAGGUGCCUAAGUGUCUUUACCUUCCAGAUGGACUUAGGCAAUGAGGUUAUAUUAGUGUGCUUCAUAUCUAAAGUCUCAAGGGAAUGAAGAUCACCUAGUGAUUUUGGAAUUGAAUCAAUAAACGUCCGUCUCAGGCCAACAUACCUCAGAAGCUGCAGCUUUCCUAUUGUUUCCGGUAGCACUGGUUUGUAUACAUCUUCAAGAUCAAGCACUCUGAGCAAUCUGUAGCCUCUUAUAGCGAUUACCAUUUUAAGCAAAUUGCCUAAUUCACCUGCAGGUUUACCUCCUUUUCUUUUGACAAAAAAUAGAUAAGAAUGCAGAUAUUCGAACUGUUUUUCGUCAGGAGUUAUGCUGCUGAGGUUGUCUAAAUGCUCUGCAAGCCUGCGGACACAUAAGUCUGAAGAACUGGAUGUAGCAUUUGAUCUGCUACCGUCAUGGAUGCAAAAAACUCCCCCGCUCUCAGCAUCUGGAAAUAAGUAAUCAGAUAGAGAACUUGGCACACGGCACGUUUUAGGCCUUCCAUCUGACUUCAGUUUUACUACUUCAAUCAUGUUCAUAAGCACAAGUUGAUGAAAAUCUUUCUUUGCCUGAUCUUCAGGAGCCAUAUCUUUCCCUUCAAUUGGUGUGACGAGUCGUUCAGCAAGCCAUAACUGAAGCAGCCUCCUGACAGAGAUCUCAUAUGAUUUGGGAAAGAGACGGAAAUAAUGAAGACACGCCUUUAGAUGUGGUGACAGAGACUUGUUGGCGAGGACCCAGAUUGAAGAAAUUCCCCUGGGAGAUGACUGAUCCAAAGUUGUAGCCUGAUCAUUAUCAACAGUACUACCUCCCUUCGAUUCAACUUCCAGCAGCAUCUUUUCUGAUUUUGCUCGUAUUUCACUCACUAAUUUCUCCAUCUUAUUUCUGAAACGGGCUUGGAUAAUAAAAGACCUCAAAGGGAUGAUGACCCCCGGGAAAACUUUACCGAACGCCUUGUGUACGCAAACUCUUUUCCUAUUUUGAAUUCGGAAUGUGUGUGCGGUGUCCUCUGCUUGGAAAACAGCUUUUAGAAACUCAAGACUUACGUCAUUAAUUUCAUUUUCUUUCAAGGACUUCCCAACAUCUUCUAGUACUUUACUGGAAUUUUCCAGCUGAGGACCCAAUCUUCGAUCUUCAAACCUCUCUCGAGACAUCUCUUUUAGUAUCCUCACAAGAGGCAGAAUGGUUGCCUCCACAGCCAUGGAUUCUCAAACACCUUUGUAAGCCCAACUAGCUAAAACUGAUGCUGAUGCUAAACAAAGAAAUGAUCAAAAUGAAUGGAUGCAACUGCAACUGCGCAUGUUAUCUAUCUCACAAUUAAACAUUAAGAAAUAAAUACCAAAUGCAUGCACAUACAGAAAGUGAGAAAUAUAAAAUUUGUAUUCUAACAGGUGGGGUGGAACCAAAUCAAUGUAAAAUUAUCUUGAUUUCAAAAGGAGCUCCAAUGAUUUAUUUAAUAAAAUAUUUGAUAAUUUAAACAAAGGCAAACACAAAUUUCAUGCUUUAAUUGAGUAGCAAGUAUUGAAUCAACCUUUGAGCAGCUUUCUCAACAGACACAUUGCCACUGGGAAAAAGAGAACGAGACAUAAGGAAAGCAUUUGUUGACACAUUCAAACAGACGUCUCCACUCUUCAACCUUUUGUAAAUUUUUAUGCGUAAUUUGUAAGAGAAAUUACUCAAAUGAGAAGAUAGUAUGCUUCUAACAAUGUUUUUUUUGUAUGAAUAUGUUCAGUCAGGAUAACAUGAAAUUGCCAAACUACCCUCAAAAAUACUUUUCUUGACUAAAAAGUUAGACAUCCCAAAACUUCUUUUUAAAAUUAAAGUAUCUAUUUCCAAGUAAGUUAUCAUGGAGUGAACACAUCGAUUUAUGAAAUAAUUUCUACAUUUACAUACACUCGAUCUAUGAUUCCUAUACAACUAAGUUACAUGUACGUCUGUACAAGGAAUCUAUAGAUGUUGAACUUUGCAUUUUGAUGACAAGGGAAAGAUGCAUAUUGUAUUUGUUUUGUUUUUAUUUUUUAUUUUUGAGGAGAAAAUGCCACUUUGAUUUCCUUCUUUAUUUAUUCUUUUAAUAUUGAAUUUCAUUUUCUUUUUAUUAAAUUAGAGCCAUCAUUUUCCUUUCAAUUUUGAAAUAUAAAGUUUUCAAUCUUUCCUCGGGGCUUGAAGCAGGGAAAAAAAAUAACAAGAGGAAAAAUCAAAGAAACCUUUCAAUAUGGUAUACAUAAAUAAAUUGCAAAAUAAGCUCAAUAGUUGUUCUUGAAUGUGUAAGAAAAAUUAUUAAGAACGUUGUUUAAGCAAAAUAUUGGCAAAAACACAUAAAACAAUUAUCACCUUGGUGCGUAUAAGAUGAAUUUGUUGGGGAUAUACUUUUUGUGGGGAAUAACAAAUAUAGCUUGGUGCGUAUAAGAUGAAUUUGUUGGGGAUAUACUUUUUGUGGGGAAUAACAAAUAUAGAGAAUUGUAGUAAUAAUGGUAAAACUUUAUUAUAAUAAGGUAAUGUACAACUCUAUAAUUAUAAAGAAACUCUAUAAUUAUAAAGAAAAUAAUAGUAAUAAAUAGCUGUAAGAAAUUAAUGUACUUUAAAGAGUAUAUUAAUUUCCUGCAGCUUAAUUAAUGUACUUCAAGUCACGUUGCAAUAUAUCGCUUUACUUAAGACAUUAUUUGUUAUCAAUUGAGUGAUGUACAUGAAUUAGGAAAAUCUAUCUGCAAGACAUAAUGAAGUAUUUAAGCAGUAGGCACUGACAAAAACAAACUUGAAUAUUCUUGAAUAUUGCAAGCUUCCCAAGAAUCAACAUAUUGUUCCGCCAGUAAAUAAUAUAGUGGAUAUUUGUUGCAUAAAAUAUAGAUGUUAUAUGAUGAAAUUCAUCUUAUGAAAGAGGUCUAAGAAAAGAGUGAUAUAAGAUCAUUUUCUUCAUAUCUAAAUGGCCUAAUAAAACAUGGCACUAUUGAGAUAAUUGUAACUUUUUGGGGGCCUGCAGAGUGUUUAAAUGAUGGACAGAGUAUUAUUGUUCAGUAGCUAAAUGAAAUUGGAAAAUGAAAUAUUAAAGUUGUUUUUCUCUUGAUAUGCCUUAAAAAUACAGAAUUUUAUGCUACUAGUUUAGAGUACCUGUUUUGCUGGUUGUUCCAAUCAUAUCCAAGAAAAAUAACUCAGAUUAGAAUGAAAACAAGUUCUAUUAUAGCAUAUAUUGAAUGCGUCUUUUCUUUUUCGCUUUAUAUUGCUAAUUUGUAUUUAAUUUUUAUCAGAUGUAGAAACUUAAUGGCUCGUUGUACCUAUUACGUUGUAGUUGAGGGAUGUAAGCCGGACUAUUACAAAAUAUCGUUAUCUAAUUAAUUAAUUAUCAACUAUACCCAUCUCUAUAACUUGUAAUAAUAUAGUGGUAAACUAUUAUUACUUUAUCUUUUUAUUUUCUUCAAAUUAACGUCACUUAUCUUCAUAAUUUUUUAUGAAUAUUUUUCACAUAAAAACAUUAUAAACUACAAUAAAAUUAAUUGUCAUAUACUAAUUUAGAAUAUAAAGCAUUGUAUUUAAUUGAAUGUGAUUUAUAUUAUUAUAAUAUAUUAUCUUAUUUAAGUUUUUUUUGGAGUGUUUAAUAUUUAUUUUUAUUUAUAAUUUGUAAGGGAACAAAUGUAAAAAUAAUAGUUUUAAAUUUUUUUUUUAAGUUAAAAAAACUUAACAUUUAUUUUUUCGCAAUUCAGACAAAAAAAAAAAAUCAUUUAGAUUAAAAAAUUUAGUCCCUAAUAUAAUCAUUUUCUUCAUUAUGUCCAUCUAAAUCGUUGUUGGCUAAUUACUCCAAAUCUUUAACUUCAUAAUUGCUUUUCAAACUGGUCAUUUUCUACACCAUCAACACAAAUUGUAUUAACCAAAUAUACUAUCAAUUAUGAAAAAAUUAAUUUAAAAAAUUCUAAACAAUAUCACUUAAAAAUGUAUCCACUGCACUAGCUUUAAAAAAUUCAUCCACUACACUAACUCAAUUCAAUUAUUACACUUUGUAUAAUAAUCAACUAAAAGAUCCAUAUGAUAUCAACACACAGCGUAUAUAAUCUCAAUUAAACUAGUCACCUCAAUAGGUAAAAGAAGAUCCAAAUUCAUCAAGUACAAUGUCGAGCAGAGUUGUAAAGCUAGUUGGCAAUGUGAAUUGUGUGACAGGUGGUUGGUGACAUGAGACAACUGGUCGACGAUGGGCAUGUGUGAGAGAGAGCUUCAAGAGGUCGAAUGACAAUAGAAGGAGGAGAAGCUGUGAACAAAUAUUUUUAGGAUUUUUUGAGCGGAAGAGAAUUUACUUUUUGGACUCUUUAGGUUACCUACCUUUAAUAUAUUUUAAUUGUAAAAAUCUAUUUUUAAUUUUGAAAAUGAAAAGCCAAAAUGACACAGCUAGCUAGCCCGUCAUUUCUGACUUCCUUAUGUGCUGCUGGUGGCUAAAUAUCAUUACUCUUUCGUAUAAUCCUAGGGUGGUCAGCUCUGUUGGAUGAUGAAAUUAAGAAGACAAAAGACAAAUAUCAUUAUGCAGAAAAGCUAAAGAAUUUGAAAAAAGUGUCCAAUAAAAUACCAUUUUUUUGUUGAGUUGAAACUUUCAUAUCACAACAAUCAACAUACUUGGCUUUUAAAACUCCAGGAUCGUGAUACCCAAAUGUUAUGUUAAUAUAAAAUUAAAGUAUUCACUGAGUGCCACCAUGCAUGUGACAUGGAUGUUAAUUAAUAGACAAAGCUAAAAAUAUUUAACCUCAAGCACGCCUCAGUGGUUUGUUUUUAGCCAUAAUCAAUUUCCUUUGUGAGGUGAUGAAUCAAGUUUGGUUUCCAGAAACGGCUGCGUUUUGGAACUGUAAAAGCUUCGUUAGCUCACGUGCUGCUCAGCUGAUUUAUAACAGAAAACGAUUUAGUCGAAACGACAGGGAUGGAGCGCGUUUUACAUAUCAGUUUAAGUAACGCGUGAGGAAGCAUGUGAUGAAGGUUGUUCCGGGUUCGUUAAAGGUUGUUGACCACGUGUCAACAAUCUGUACAAUCUGGAAAUCAAGCUGGCUAUCCAUAACAGGGUAUAAAGGCUGGUUUUUGGGGCAAGUUCAGAUUCGAUUCGUGAGUCUUGUAGUGAGGGUUUUGUGUGAGAGAAAGUGUUAUCUUGUUCUCUGUAAAGUCUGGUGUAAGGCUCUGUAACAAUCUCCAUUGUUGAUUCAAUAAAGCUCAUCUUGAGGCUUCUCCCAUGGAUGUAAGCUGAGCAUUCCAUGCUCAGCUGAACCACGUAAAAUCUUGGUUUCUGUGGGUUUCUUGGUUCUAGAUUUUGUUCAUGAUUCAGUUCUUGUUCUUUUGUUAAUAAGUGAGUUUAUCUAAUUAGAUCUUGGGUUUGUGCAACUUGCAUUGACUAGAUCACUAGCAUCCUGGGCAGUGAUCAGACUAGUUGGGUUUAAUAGGCUUUGCUGGUCACUACAACGAUGGAUGAGAUAUGUCCACCAAAGGGAAUUAGUGCAUUUUCAGUUUUAGAAUGGAGACAUUUUGAUUAAAAUACAAAACGGGAACCUUUCUGCCUACGUGUGAAACUUGCUGAGUAAAACGUCAUUUUUUCAAUUUCAAGCAGUGACUUAAUAAAAACAUUUCCCUUUUUUGAGUUCAGUUAUAAAGGAAGCAUACCGCAUCUUUGUAGACGUUGCUGGAAUUAUUGUGUCCAAUCACGGAGCUCGCCAGUUAUUAGAUUAAUUCAGCCCUGGAAGAGGUGACUGUAUAUACGUUUCACAGCUCUAUUAGCAUUCUCAUCUGAGGAGUGCAGAUAAAAUGUUUUAGAUUUGUCUACAGAUCUAAACUUACUUGGCUUUACAAGUAUGUAAACAAUUAUGAGAAUCAUAAUCAAAUUCAAAUUUUAAUUCGAAAAGUUCCAAAAUAUAUUUGAGCUAAUAUCUAAUAAAAUCAUAAACAAGUUAACUUAACCUUAUAUCUGGCAGAUACCCGCAUGAAUAUCCGUCGGACCCACAAUAUUUUUAAUUUAAUUUUAAUUUAAAAAAUGUAUUAAAAAAUUAUGGAAUCAUUCAAAUUACCAAAUAGCCAAAGGCCCAAAGCCAAAAUUGUGUAUGUGUGUUUGUGGCUCAUCUCCCAUUCUAAAGUGAUAACCUAAAGAAAACUAAAGACAUUUCCCUUUGACUUAGCCGCACAUCAUCUGACCAUCUCUCAUCUCUAUCUUCAUUCAACAUUCUUUUAUUCUUCAGCUUGAGCUUGUGACAGUGAGCCAGCGCCCUGCACCCAACUCCCUUCACUGUCGACAAGGACACGUCGUGCUGUUGCAUCUGCCUAGGUACCGUUGCUGUUGCCAUUAUUUUUAGAUACUAAUUUGUGUUUUUUAAAUGGAUUUGUGUAAUUUAUACUUAAAUUUGAUAAUUUGUGUUGGAUUGUGUUGAAAUUUUAAUUUUUCAUUUACAUUGGUUAAAUAUAAAAUUGAGUAUGUUAUGUAGAAUUUGAGGUCAUUAUUAUAAAUAUAUAUAUAAAACAUUUGUAAUUAUAAAUGUAGAAACCCGCAAAAAAUCCGCUGGGUACCAUUGUGGGUUUAGUAAUUUUCAAAACCCGUUGCGGGUGGAUUUUCUUAAAAAAAUUAAAACCCGUUGCGGGUUGCAGGUGGAUUUGGUAAUUUAAAUUUUGUACGGGUUUGAGUUUGAGUUUGAGUUUGAGUUUGGUAAUGACAAACCCGCUGCGGGCAGUGCCGAUUGCCAUCCCUAACACUGCAUCAGUUACACUGUGCAUCCAUCAAUUUUUUUUGUGUUAAUAGUGACAAUAUUAUUAUUAUAUAUAAUAAGUUUUCAUGAUAAACAUGGUAAAGAACAUAAAUAUAUAUACAAUGAUUAACACUAGAAAAUGUAUAUUUAAUAAAAGUUAAAGUUAUCAUUUUUCACUUAUAGUGUUGAUAACACUAAAAAUUUUAUCAUAUUUACAAAUCAUUGGCUCAUUUUAUAAAUUGUUUAUUUUUAUUUGUUUUAAAAUAUGAUUUUUUGAGUUUUGUAGGAAAUCCUUAAAUUCAUGAUGCUUGGAUCGGAAAAAUGGACAUGAAAUUUGGACUCAAGCGAUUUUGAAACCUUUGGAAGGAUUGUUAGCCCUUCGAUCCAAAAUUAACUCUGAACGGUUCAGAUUGUGCUACAUGUUUGAGUUCAUGUGCACCUUGUUACCCUAGAUUUAACGCCCAUGAAUCUAAUAUUUCAACAACCUUGACAAAUGAACCAACAGAGGUCCCACUUUGAUUUCAUUUGUAGCCAUUGAUUUGUUGAAUCUAACGACCCAUAAUGGUUGCAAUUUUAGACCUAGGAUUAUAUCACUAAAACUUAUCUAAAGAUUGUGGUUGCAAACUCACAAAAAAUAUCAUGUUAAUGCACAUAUUUGAUCAACUCAAUGUUUUCCUAUAUAAAGGCAAGAGCUCUCAUAAAUUUAAGUACAGAUUUGUAGAGAGAAUUAGAGUAUUUAUAGAGAAAUAUGAGAGGUGAGUUUCGUAGAGAAAUUGGGCGUAAACCUAUAGUGAAUUCUAGAGAAAAACCUCUCCUCUUCUCUUUUGUUUUCAAUUUUCUUGUAUUGUAUUUUAUAAAAUUUGUUAAAUAAAACGAGCGUUUUUCUUGCCAAUAUGAGUGAUUAAUUUUUCUCAGCUAAAUUAAAGGGUGAAACUCAAUAAUUUAAAUUGUGGAAUUAAUUAUUCUCUUUAGUAAGUUUUAAGUUUAUUGUUUUUAUUUACAUAGUUAUAAGUUAUAUUUUCUACCAGAUAUUUUCAUUCCAUGUUAAUUUGUAGAUCGAGAUCCCCUUUAAAUCUAUGUGAGUAUCUAGACAUAAUGUUGACACACCAAUGUUAUAAUGACAACACUUUAAUAAGACUAUAGCACAUUAUACACUUAAUCCCAUAUUCAUCCAUAUAGUGGUUAUUUAAGAAGAAGUUAUAUAAUAUUUAAACUAGUGAAAGAAAUACAAAAAUAUAAAUAUGAGAGACUAUUAUGAUAAUGAUUUGAAUAACAAUAGUGAAUACCCUAUCAUUUUUUUUAAUUUAGACUAUUUCUUAUUAAUUUCUUUUUAUGUAAUUAUUUUUAUUUAAUAAUUAACUAAUAGAUUUUUUAAAUCCCUUGUGGUUCGACCCCAGAAUCAUUAGAUUAUAUUAUAAUUAUGCACUUUUAUACUUAGGAGUAAUCAGCCACUUUUAAGUCGUGCCAUACAACGAAAAAAAUAUUACCAAUAAUGAAAAAUAGAGCAGAUGUGAGGUGCCGCUGGUACACCUUAAUCACACUUUUAAUUCAUUUCCAUGCACCCAUAAAACAGAUGUUCAUGGUACAGUAACAAGCCAGCAGCACUUGUUGAUGCAUUGACCAUACAUGAAAACUUCAGAAAGAAUUGUUUUACUUAGGGAACGGGCUAUGAGAAAACUUGAUGUCAUGUCCUCAAGAUUGUCAUUAUCAGUGAAGAGCUUGUGGUGGAAAUCUUGCAAAACAAUAACCCAUCAGAACUUGUCGGGGAUGCUACUGACAUAGACCUUCCAAUGCUUAAGUCAAAGAUCGAGAGUGGUACGAUAAUAAAUAAAUAAUAAAAGAGAGAAAAUAGAGUAAAAAAAAGGCUUGGAGAAUAUUGUAUCCCCUCUUUAAUAUACCUUUGAGUGGCGACCUCUUUAUAUAAGAGAAAUAAUUAAAAGUAUAAUUAAGUUAAGAAAACGUAUCUCCUAUUUUAUAGGAUUUGAGUUUAAUGAGGAUUAAGGUUUAUAUUAUUUUAUCUUAUUUAUAUUAGGACAUGUUGUUGUAUGUGAGUCUUGAGGCUUGGGAUCAAUUUUUUUUAGCAUCAAGUCCAAUUUGGUGAAAAUACGAGUAUAUUAGUAGUCCCCUAGUUUAUAGUAUUCAUAAGUUUACAAGUGAAUGCUAUGAAGCAAUAAAAUUUAUAAUAUGUUAGUUUUUCACGUUAACUUUGUUGAUUAUCAUGAGUUCUCAAAUGUCAUGAGAAGUCUUGAAUGACGUAAGGAAACCUUGAAUGAUACGAGGACAACUCAAAUGUCUUAGAGAUAUGUUGAAUGACAUGAGAUCGAGGCCAAGAGCAUGUGGCCAAGCUCCAUGUUAUAAGAUUGAGGCCCAUGAGCAUGUGGCCACGUUAUGUGUUAUUUGCUAUUAUUGAGAGGGAAGAGUUUGGUGGUUGGAAUCUUGCAAAACAAUAGGGUCUAACCAACGUACACUCUCUUCCGAUACUUAAGUUAGAGAUCGAACAAUACUAAAUAAAUCAUAAGAGAGAGAAAAGAGAAUAAGAGAAAGAUUUAGAGGAUAUUGUACCCUCUCCUCCAAUGUGCCAAUUUCUCCUUUAAUAAUCAAAAGUAUAAUUAAGUUAGGAAAUUUUAUCUCCUACUUGAUAGGAUUUGAGUUUGAUGAGAAUUAUGACUACUUGUACUGUUUUAUCUUAUUUAAAUAAAAAUAUGUUGUUAGAUGUGAGUACUCGACCUUAGGAUCUAUUCAUUUAUGUCAUUAUAUCGAGUUUGGUAAAAAUAUGGGUACAUCAAUACUAUUUUUUUUUUCUUUUUUAAUAUACAUUACUGUCGCUCUAUACUUUACUAUAAAUUUACUAAUAGAUUCACUAGAGCAUCAAUAAGCCUAGAUAAACAAGAUGACUAUUACAAUGACUACAUGAGCAUGGCAAAUUGCAGGCAUAGGCUUGGUCUUUUCAAAACUAGGCCUAUGGUCAUGUUAGGAAGAGUAUAAGAGCAGGCCUAUUGCGGGCUGGGCUCAGGACAAACCAGUGUUGGGCUUUUAUAUAUAUUUUAAUUAUAUUUUAAAUGAUUGUAAACUUGUAAUGAGUUAAUAAUCAAUAAAUUAUUAAAAUCAAGGGAAAUUAUCAUUUAUAUACCCUAUAUUUGCUCUGUUAUAAAAAAUACUACAAUACUUUGAGGGUGUAUCAAUCGUCCACCCUUAGUUAACAAAAUGUAUCAGCUGACCACCAAACCGUUAGUUGCCAUUUGAAAGUUAACAGAGUUACAGUGAAUUGACGAUUUUACCCUUGAAAAUUAUCACUUGUAUACCCUUAAAUUCUCUUUUUAUCACUUGUAUACCCUUAAAUUAUCACUUGUAUCAUAUGAAAAUACCAAAUUACCCUUCUGACGUCAUCAUACUUAAACGACAACUAACGGUUUGGUGGUCAGCUGAUACAUUUUGUCAACUUAGGGUGGACGAUUGAUACACCCUCAAAGUAUUGUAGUAUUUUUGAUAAUGGAGUAAACUAAGGGUAUACAAAUGAUAAUUUCCCUAAAAUCAAUAAUAAAUUAAAAAAUAUCUAUUUUAAAAUAAAAUAAAAAAAUAAAAAUAAAACAAAUAAAAGUUUAUAAAUUUAUUUUUUUAUUAUUAGAUUUUAUAAUUUAAAUAUGCUCUUAAUUAAUUAAGAGUUAAUAAAGAGUUUAAUUCAUUACUUUAAUUUAUAAAAUUCAUUUUUAAAAAAAAAUAAAUAAAAGGCCGAAGCUGACCCAAACUUUAUUUUCUUAAGUUUUUAUCUACAUCCUCAUGUGAAAGGCCUGGCUCAAACUAUCAUCUGAUGUCCCCUCUCUUUCUCGCAACAUUUUUUUUUUUUUUAAUGAUGCAUUGGGUGUGUGCAACACAUCGAAUCGCAAACUGCUGCUGGCAAAUGAAACUGAUCACAUGACUCGACUAGCUUACAGAAUCUGUAAGCUACAGACUGCAGCAUCAGCCGUUGGAUGUGGUUGGAUGUGGAGUGAGAAAUUAAACAAUAGAAAAAGGGAUGGUGGAAUGAUGGGAGAUGUUAGGUACAGAAUCUGUACCAUAGGCAUGUCCCUGAUCAUAAGGCUUCAAAGGUACAUUCCUUCAUUUGUCAUUUGCGUGUUGCUCUGCGAUUUGACUUAAGUUUCAAGUUAAAGAAUCUGAUUAAAAGUGUGGAUGCUAUGGCUGAAAAAAAUGGGUUCAAAUUUAACUCGAUGAGUGGCACUGGAGAGAUAGAAUGACGAAUCAUGAUGAGUAGGUCAGUUGUUACUACUACUGAUCCAUUUGGAUUGCAUGGAAGAGAUGAUGAAAUGAGCAGGAUAUUGGAGUUAGUGUUGAGUAAAAGUAGUGAAGGGCCAAGGCCAAACCUUCUUCCCAUUUUGAUUGUAGGGAUUAGAGGGAUAGGGAAAACAGCUCUAGCUAGGCAAGUUUUUGACGAUGGUGGCGUGAAAGCCAAUCGCAAUUUGGGAAUCUACUUCUUACCAUAGGGAUGAGAAAAGGGUUGCAAAAGUUAUUCUUCAAUCCUUGGAAAUAGGGAUGGCAAUUUCCGGGUCCGGGUCCAGGUUUGGCUGUUCCGGAUCCGGACCCGGAUACAAAAUAUUCAUAACCGGACCCGCAUUGAACCCGAAUUUUUUUAAUCCGGGUCCGGUCCGGUCCGGGUUGAACCCGGAAAAAUCCGGGUUUUGAACCCGGAUUGGUUUAUUUAUUAUUUUUUUGAGAGACCCGAUUGCUUAAUUUAACAGGGGAUGUUUUAAUAUUUUAAUGUAUUACAUGAAAAAACACAUUACGAUAAAACACAUUACAGUAUUCUUCCUAGAAUUGGUUCAACAAAAUUUGCUGGAUAAAGGGCAAAAAAAAGAACAUAUAUCACAUCCAGAACCAGACUACCAGAACCAAGUUACUUCACUUUGGUUCAACAAAAUUUGCUGGACAAAGGGCAAAAAAAAAAAAACAUAUAACACAUCCAACUUCUAAAACAAAUACAACACACUCAAAGUUUUAAAGUAAUAAACAUCCAUAAAUACAAAUCCAUAACAUAAUUCCACAAUUUAAAGCUCAAAUUUCCAGCCACUAGUGCUAAAGACUAAACUCUGAAUCAUCCACUUCAUUUGAUUGUUGCUCACUCAUCCAACUUUCAUCAAUCAAAUGCUAUGCAGAAAGUAUUGCUUCCUCUGGAAUUCCAUCUACAAAAAAUGUGUAAAUCACAAACGUAAUGAGCAACACAACCAAUUAGUGAUAAAUUGAUAAUAAGAAUAAUACACCAAAUAAUUUGAUUCUAAUAAAUAAAAUUUUCAUACCUUUUAAGUUUUGUUCAAGCCAAAACCAAUUUUGAGUGCACACCAAUGCCUCUACUGUGGAUGGGUGAAGUCUACUACGAUGAGGGCUCAAAUGUCUACCUCCAGUGCUAAAAGCGGACUCCGAAGCAACUGUUGAUACAGGAAUAGCCAAAAAGUCCCUUGCAAUCUUUGCAAGUACAAGAUAUUUGCCUUGAUUAUUCUUCCACCAUGACAAAAUGUCAAAUUGACUAGUUGAAGGCAAAGUACCCUCCUCAAGAUAAAGCUCUAAUUCUGAUUUAGAAUGAGUAUUCUGUGUGUUUUCAUUUCUAAAUAAUGCCCACUCAUCAGCCAUUUCAUCCAAAUCUAAAUCUAACAUAUUAGAAUCCCCUCCUGCAGCAGCUUGAGAAUUGGCACCAUUAACCCCCCCACUUGAAUUUGAUAGAUGAUUUACUUCAUACUCAUGCACUAAAUCAACAAAUAACUUACGCACUCUUUCAAUUUCAGAUUCAGCUUUUUCCCCAUAUAUUUUAGGAAAUAAAAAGUUAAUCAGUAACAUUUUACGCCUAGGAUCUAACAUAGUCCCCACUGCAAGAACUCCAUGAAUAACAUCCCAAUACUUUUCAUACUUCGCAAUCAUCCUAGUAGCCAUAUUUUUUAUCCCCUCAAUUGGUGAUUGCAACCAUGCAUUCAUUGACAAUCUAAUUUCACAAAUCUUGGCAAAAAAUAAAUUAGAUGUCGGAUAUCGUGUCCCCGAAAAAAGUUCUGUCAACUUAUAAAAGUUUUUUAGAUACUCACACAUAAGUUUUGACAAAUUCCACUCUGACUCAAUAGGUAAAGAUGUAUAAUUUCUUUCACGUUCCUUUAAACGAUCAAAUACUUCUUUAUACAAUAAUGCAGUACUAAGCAUCAAGUAAGUAGAGUUCCAUCUAGUUUUACAAUCAAGUACUAAGUUUUUGGUUUCCUUAAUACCUAAUUGUUUUUUUGCAUUCUCAAAUUUUUCAACUCUAGCUGGUGUUGCUGUCCAAUAAUGAACACUAUCUCUAAUUUUCCCAACUCCCUUUUGUAUCACAGACAAACCAUCUCUAACUAUCAAGUUCAAUAUAUGAACACAACAACGCAUAUGAAAGAAUUUGCCACCCAUAAUCAUUGAAUUAAUAGAAAAAUUUCCCCAACAACAAGGCAAUCAUAGAAUCAUUUGCAGCACAAUUAUCAGCAGUUACAGAGGACAACUUUCUAUCUAUAUUCCAAUCCAUCAAACAAUCAUAUAACUCAUUACACAUUACCUCAGCACUAUGUGGAGCUGGCACAUAUAUAAACCUAACAAUGUGAAAAAAUAAUUAAAAUAUUAUACAUGACAUUAAUUUAUACUUAAACAAAAAAAACAAGUUUCAAGAAUAUUACCUCAUAAUACGACUUCGCAACACCCAUGAGCUAUCAAUGUAAUGUGCCGUAAUAACCAUGUAUCCUUUUUUUUUUUUUGUUACUAGCAGUCCACAUAUUUGUAGUAAUUGCGAUUCUACUCUCACAAGCUUCCAAAAUACCCAUUGUCUUUUUCUUUUCAACAUCAUAAAGCCUUAAAAUUUCAGCUUUGAUGGUGUUUCUACUAAUAGUCUCAAUAGAAGGUUGGAGUAGCUUCAACAAGUCAUAAAACCCAACAUACUCAACAAAUGCUAAGGGAAGCUCAUGUAGUACAAUCAUUCUAGCUACAAAAAGCUUUACUGUAGCCAUAUCCCAUUUUGAUUCAGAACUACAAUUACUAAGUGAAGUGCUUCCAUCAACUCUAGAAGAAAAAGAUAGGUGCAUUUGCUGUACAUUCUUAAAUGACCUUCUAGGACAACGUUUAGCAUGGUUUUUUAAGUGAUUAGUACCCCUCGAAUAAUGUCCUUGCAUAACUAACCCACAGUAAUUGCAAAUUGCUUGAACUUCUUCACCCAACUUAACUUUUUUGAAAUGAUUCCAAGCAUCAGAGACUGCUCUACCACCGCCAUCUCGUUUUUGUGAAGUGACAGGAUUAGUAUUACCCCUACGGCCACGACCACGGCCACGACUACAACCAUGAACUGCUGCUGUUGAAUUUGGUUCUAAUUCAACAGCUGUAUCACUAUUAUUUUCUGAUUCUGUCCUAACUCUCACACAAACACUUUCAUCACUUUUUUCAGAGGCAUCCAAGUUGAUUCUUUGUUCAUUUUCCAUAUCAAUUUUUCACUCUACAAAAAUUACAAACACAGUCUAAUUAAAUUGCUAAGACAAUCACAGUAUCCUAACCGAAUUUCGUUAAUCUAUAUGAAGAGAAUAAUGCUUAAAAUGAAAGAAAAUUACAGGACAUUAUUAAUCAAGAAUUCAUAAGAUUAAGAUUUUCAAGAGACAUUAUUAAUCAAGAAAAUUACAGGACAUUAACUUUGAAUUCUUAACAAGAACAUUAGUAAUCAUGAAUUAGAGGGUACUGGAUUUUAUCUAGCCCUCCGAUUAAUUGGAAAAAGCAUGCAAGAAGCUAGCACAGAACAAAAACAUAAUUAAUUAAUACAAAUCAAGUCCAUUACCACUUUUUUAUUAACACAACCCCACAACCACAAACUAAAAUAUAAUUAAUUAAUACAAAUCAAGUCAAAAAAGGUACCUAAAUGCAUCAAUAACAAAAAAAGUUGCAAACUUUUGAUGAAUUAAAUAAAUAACAAAGAACCAACUUUUUGCUUACGGAGAAAUGGAUCCAAGAAACCACAAAUGAACUCAGCCGCGACUGAGAUGAAUUUCAACUCUUUUGCUGGCCGCGACAGAGUGAGAUUACAGGAGAGUUGAAGAAAGAGUGAGAGAGAUUAAGUGAGGACUGAGGAACGAGACACGACUCACGGGUGAGAGCGAUUGAGAGAGGAACGGAUUACAGAUGAGACUUGAGAGAUUGAGAGGAGAAAUUUCAGGAGAAGUUUUGAGAGAGGAACGAGAGAGAUUGAGAGAUCUAGAUCUAGGGUUCACUUUUGCUUUUUUUUUUUUCUAUUUAUACUUAGGGAUUUAUGGAUAAAAAAUUAAUAUUAAAAUAAAUAAUAUCCGGGUCCGGGUUCCGAAUUUGCGGGUUCACCUGAAACCGGAUCCGGACCCGGAAAUAUACGGGUUGUCAAAAAUUGAUCCGGAUUUCGGAUAAAAAUUACUCCGGUGCGGGUUGAACCCGGACAGGAUUUUUCGAGUUUAGUCCGGGUCCGAUCCGGGUCCGGGUUUGGUUGCCAUCCCUACUUGGAAAGUAAGACGUCAAGUCUUGUUGAAGUGGAAACUGUGUUGCAAUACAUAAGUGAAGUUGUCUAAGGAAAGAAAUUCCCUCUUGUCUUGCUGAUUUGUGGUGAAAUGAACGUGCUAAAUACUGGGACCAACCAAAGUACUCUCUGAAAUCUGGCUCGAAAGGAAAUAGAAUUUUAUUGACCAAAAGUGAGCAGAACAUUGUAGAUAAAUUGGAACCAGCUCUAUGCUUUCACUAGGAGACUGACCGAUCAAGAUUGUUGGUUAUUGGUCUGCCAAGAAGCAUUUUAUGGAAGGGCCCUUCAUGAGUAUCAAAAAUUAGAAGACAGUGGGGUUGUUGUUAAGUAUAAUGGCUUGCCUUUUUGCUGUAAAGAUUCUAGGAAGCCUCUCGCGUAUUAAGACGAAACAUAAUUGAGUGGAAAAGUGUCUUCGAUAGGGAGAUAUGGGAACUUGACGGAGUAGAAAAUGAGCAUAUUAGGUCUCUAUUAUUGAACUACUAUGACUUGCAUUGAGGAAAUGCUUCUUGUACCGUGCCUUCUUUCCCAAAAACUAUGAGAUAGAGAUAGAUUGAUUGGUCAAGUUAUGAAUGGCUCAGGGUUAUCUUAAGUUGGAGGGAAGGGAAGAUAUGGAGUUAAGAGGAGAAAAGUACUUUAGAAACUUAGCCUCAUGCUAUUUAUUCCCAUAUUUUCAAAGAAAUGAGUUUGAUGGUAAAAUAAUAAGGUGCCAGAUGCACUCCAUAGUGCAUGAUUUUGCUCAGUGUCUUACAGAAAGCGAUAGUUUGAAUGCAGAGGUCAAGGAUUCUGAUUACAAGUGUCACUCAGAGUCUUCUCAUGAAAAAAUUCAGAAUUUAAUGAUAAUGUUUGAAAGUGAUGACCUCUUUCCUAUUUCAGUUUACACUCAAAAGAAACCGCGGGGCCUUGUGGUUGAGCGUGAAGGGUAUUUCAUGAAGGGCAUAGUUCUGUCUGAGGUGUUUGAUCAGUUGACAUGUCUGAGGACACUGGAUUUGAGUCCAUGAUAGUGUUUGGUGUAAAGUGAUUGAAGUGGUUCCCAGAGGAAUAAAAUGAUUAAUACAUUUAAGGUACCUUACAUUAAUAUCUAUUACAAAAGUCACAUAUAUUAAAUUAGUAAGUAACGCAACAUGCAAGGGAUACAAACUUCUUUUACAAACUAUCAUGAACAAAUUAAUAGUCUAAUACAAAAUUGUUACAAAUAAAAUCGAAUUUAGAUUCAAAAUUAACUUUUUCAAUGGUGGCGUAGGCACUUUAUAAAUGUGGACUAUUCCCUUUAUAACACAAUAGUUAAAUCGGAGCAAAUCAAAAGUAAAUAUUAGAUUACAUUAGAUUAGAUAUUAAAAUUGUGAUUCAUUGUGGGCAAUUAUAACAUCUAAAAAUAAAUAAAAAAUAGAUUUAAGUUUAAAAUAUUUAAAGAAUAUUAAAAUUAAAAAAAAUGUUUGGCUAUUAGAAUCUACUCGGUCUUUUUAAUGUCCUAAAUAAAAAUUUAGGACUUUAAUUAGUUAAUUAGGCCUAAAAGUUUAAUAAUAUAAAUAUUUUGAUAUUUUUUAUUUUUACCAAUAUUUAUAAUUUUAUAAUUUAAAUUUUAUAAUUUAUUUACUAGUAAUUUUAAAAAAUUAAAAUGGGGAAAUGGGUAGGGGAUGUGGAUUCCACCUCAUUCCCGUCCCCUCUCCGAAUAAGAAAUUGGGUAAAAAAAUUUCUCCGUCCCCUCCCCGAAUAAAAAAUUAGGUAUGAAAUUAUCCCCAUACCCUCUCCGAAUGAAAAAAAUUCUCAAGAGUACUCGUCCCGUGGAGAUUUUUGCCAUCCCUAAUACUAGUUGGCCACAAGAAGGAACGUUUGGACAUAAAAGUGGCGAUGUCCAGCUCAUUUGGCUUUGGUGGACACAAUUCAUCCAUCUUAUUCGCUCCUUUUAAAGGAAAUUGAUUAAUGAUUAUGGCUAAAAAAACCCUGACCACACGCGUGUACUUGGUGUUAGUCAAUUUACAGCAAUUAAUUAACAUCCAAAUCCAAGUGCGUGCAUCGUGGAACUCUGCCAAGACGUUAAUUUUGUAUUGGCAUGACAUUUGGGUAUUGUUCUAAGACCACUUCGUUUGAUAUGUAUUGAUUAUUAUGAUGCCGCAGUUUAAAAAGACACGUAUGUUGAUCGAUCCUUGUGAAAUGAGAAAUAAAAGUUGAGAUUUUGAUAAAAUUUAGGACACUUUUCAAACCAAAUGAUACUUGUCUAUUAUCGUUUUAGUUUCAUCAUCCAACUGAAGUGAACCAUAUAUUUGAUUAUACGAACGAGGUAAUCCAUAGGUAAUAAUAGUUAGAGGUGGCAUAGCCGUGAUGGUGAAUUUUUUGUUAUAAAAAAUUUGGGAUGAAGUUUAGUAUACCAAAAACUAAUUUUUGACUUGAACUAUUAGCAUUUUUUUUAAUCUCAUUAAAUUCUUAUUUUAUUAUAAUUACAUAUAAGGAUAAAUAUAAAUAAAAUUGAUACUACUUAUAUUUUCAGUUUCUCACUUAAAUUUAUUUUAUAUUUACAAUAUAUUAUAUUUUUUUUUCUCUCUUCUCAAUCUAUAUAAUUGAUUCUUGCACAAACUUAAAAUAUUGAUCUUUUUUUAUAUUAAUCAUUUUUUAUGUUUGGGAAGUUAUUUUUUUUAUUGAGAAAGAAAGUUUGAAUAGAAUAAUAGAGAUAUCAAGAUUUAAAUAAAAUAAUACUGUAAAAAACAAAUUAACUGUGAGAAAGUUACAGAAAAUAAAAGUUUUACAAAUGAAAAGAGUCUUUUUUAGGGGAAAAAAAAGGAAAAAGUAUUUUUGACAUUACGUGGAAGAUUUUGUAGAGGUGGCCGCAGAUCAACUCUUAAUUCUCUCUCGAAAUGAAUUUCUCUUGAACAACAUUUAAGUGAGAAAUUGGAUUAAUUAAGAAUAUACAAAUUAUAAAUGAGUUAAUCUCAAUAUUAUCACUAUUUAAACACGUGCCUUCUUUCCCAAAAACUAUGAGAUAGAGACAGAUUGAUUGGUCAAGUUAUGGAUGGCUCAGGGUUAUCUUAAGCUGGAGGGAAGGGAAAAUAUGGAGUUAAGAGGAGAAAAGUACUUUAGAAUCUUAGCCUCAUGCUCUUUAUUCCCAGAUUUUCAAAGAAAUGAGUUUGAUGGUAAAAUAAUAAGGUGCCAGAUGCACUCCAUAGUGCAUGAUUUUGCUCAGUGUCUUACAGAAAGUGAUAGUUUGAAUGCAGAGGUCAAGGAUUCUGGUUACAAGUGUCAAUUGGAGUCUUCUCAUGAAAAAAUUCAGAAUUUAAUGAUAAUGUUUGAAAGUGAUGACCUCUUUCCUAUUUCAGUUUACACUCAAAAGAAACCGCGGAGCCUUGUGGUUGAGCGUGAAGGGUAUUUCAUCAAGGGCAUAGUUCUGUCUGAGGUGUUUGAUCAGUUGGCGUGUCUGAGGACACUGGAUUUGAGUAAUCAUGAUAGUGUUUGGUGUAAAGUGAUUGAAGUGGUUCCCAGAGGAAUAAAAGGAUUAAUACAUUUAAGGUACCUUAACUAGUCUAACAACAAAAAGAUAAAAGCUUGCCUGAGAUGUUGUGCAAGUUGUAUAAUUUACAAACCUUGGAGCUCAGUUGGCGUAGCAGUCUCAGAAAUUUGCCUCAAGGGAUGAGGAAGUUGAUCAACCUGAGGCAUGGAGAAAAUGUUGGGACUCCACUUAGCUACAUGCCAACGGGAAUUGAAAGAUGCAGUUAGUUUUUGGACACUAAGUGAAUUCAUUGUCGGUGGUGGAACUGAUGAUAAAAGGGCUAGUAAACUUGAAUGUCUGAAAAGCCUGAUCCAUCUUCUAGGGAUCUCUUACGAUAAAAAAUGCUGGGAAAUGUGAAUAAGGAUGAGAUUUGCAAAGCAGAACUUUCGGAGAUGGAAAAUCUCCUGGCUGUGUGUAUAAGUUUCGAUAAUAAUGAUAAAAAGGGAGGAAGAAUAAGGAUGAUGAAGACCGUCUUGAGGGCUUACAGUUGCCUCAAAAUCUUGAGACCUUAAACAUUUUUGACCAUAGAGGUAACAGGAUUUCUCGCCUGAGAAUAAUGUUGUUAUCUAAGUUGCAGUCUAUGGCAUUAGAUUGGUGCAUGAACUUAGUGCAAUUGCCUCCUUUGGGAGAAUUGGCAGCCCUUGAGUCACUGAUUACACUAAGGAUGAAGAACUUGUAAAAGGUGGGGAAUGAAUUUUUGGGAACAGAUCAAAGCCGUGGGAAACCAUUUGUUGCUUUUUCUAAAUUGAAUUGACUUGUUUUUCAGAAAAUGAAAGUAUGGAAAGAGUGGAAAUAUAAAAUGAGGAAGAGGGCAUCAUUAUGUAAUCAUGCCAAGUCUUCAUUCAUUAACAAUUGGAUUCUGCCCCAAAUUAGAGACACUUCCGGAUGACCACUGUCCUUGAACACUAUAUUCGAAGAUCAUUUCAUGUCCUGUGCUGGAAAAUUGUUAUAAAAAGGGAACUGCAGAGAGGCAAAAGAACUCUCAUAUCAAGAUUUCUUAUGCAGUUGAACUGCAACAGACACAGAGGUAACUCUUCUCCUUGUUUUUACAUAGUUUGAUUUUUAGAAUUCGUUUUUGGUUUUUCAUGAUCCUGUAAUCUUUUGUCGUAAAUAAAAUAGAUAUGCAACCACCUGCAUUUGUAAAAGAGAUGUUAAUUUAAUGUAUUGUUCUAUUCACUUAGAAAUUGUGGAUGACAUCACUGGAUAAUUUGAUCUUAUUGGUUUUUUUUUCCAGGAGAAUGGUGUGAGAAGUAUUCUGGAGAGGAAUCAAAUGUUAUAUCUCGUGCCCCAUUUCAGAUAUCAAAUAUUUGGUAAGUUAAUCUCUUCAACUCACACAUAUCACAUUCCUGGUCUUGGUUUUCAGAAUGUAGAACUGGCUACUAGGCACAGCAACUAAUCAAUAGAAUUGUAAAAUUAUAUCUCAGUGCAGAGCAAUUACUUCAAAGUCUCCAAAGAUGAUGUGGGCUGAGACAGAACCUUCCCCUUUGAAACAGAAAGAAAACGUUAUCUUAAAACUUUUUCUUAUAGUUAUGUUACAGUUUGAAUUCCUUUACUACUUCAUAAUCAUUAUUCUUCAAUCUUGAGGUGUUUCUCAGAGUGUAAUACAACUUUCAAAAAAUGGAGAUUGCAUUGAAGUCAGAAAGGGUGCGAAAGGCCCUCGAGGGAAGAAAGUUGAUAGGACGCUUUGGAUGGGCUAUUGUUAAACCUCGAAUAGUAUGAUAUUGUCUGCUUUAAACAAAAGUCAGGUUAUUUUUUUUCUUCUUUAGUUCUCGUCAAGAGGCAUCAUACUAUUUAAGAAAUGAAUUUGUAUAUGUAGUCUAGCAUUGCUUUUAAAGCAGGCAAUGCAGGACAUUGACUUCCAAUCCUUAUCAUCCUUGAUAUUUCCAAAUCUUGAAUCACAUAUUGAAGCUCUGCAAGGAAAAGGAAAUGGAUCAUUCCAAGUUACCAGUUGCAGGAUUAUGGCAGAUCCGAUUACAAGACAUCAGGGAAUAGCGGCUGGAUUGCCUGAUUCUAAAUGAUAUUCAUGAAUCAUGACCCUUUGUUCUGUCACUUGGUUUCAGGAACUAGCCACUGGAAAUAUUUUCGUUGCUCUUUUUAUGUCUGUCUUUCACAGCGAAGGUAGAAGGUUGAAGCACAAGAGGGUGAUUGAUAUGCUGUUAACUUUUAUCUUAGUACAAUAUACCAAAACAAUUUAUUUUAAUGUAGCAACUGGUAAGUCCUUUUAUUUUCAUGUUAUUCAGCAAUCGAUGCUUUUUGUUCCUCUGUGGCCUCUUUUGUAUUCGAUACAAUAUACAUAAGUUCGACGAAGGGUUCCACUAAACUUCAUUUUUCUGUGAUGCUCACAUAAUUUUGGAUAUGGGAGCAGGAGUUGAAGCCACCAAUUCAGACUGAAACGUUGAGCCAAAUUUUACCAAAAUUUCACUUUGUUUGAUGCAUUUGCAUAUUAGGCACUUUAGGUCCGUGGCCUUUUGCUAGCUUGUCCUAGAUGGUGCAAGGAAACAGAGUCACAAAAUCAAUCGACAAAAGAAUGUUAUAAACCAUAAAAAUACUUCAAAUUUAAUUAGUUUAAAUGAUUGCUCAUGGUUUAAUUCAUCCAUACAUAUAAGGUUGUGUUUGGCACCCAGCAUUACUCCUCAUUAUAGCCUUGUAUUGUAUUAAAUUAAUACAAUACUAUGUUUGGCAAAAAAUGAACUUUGUAUUAGACCACAUUGUAACACACCAAACGCCGCACAAAUUAAACCCGUGAGGGGGGGUCGUAAUUAGGCCGCAUUGCAUUAGAAUAGAAAGCAAAUUCUUUCUUCUUCACGAUCUCAGCCACAACCACAAACCAAAUCUUCUCUUCGUAAAACCCAAAGUAAAUUUUUUCUCUCAAACUCACUCGCCUUUCACUCACAUAUUUUCCUCCCUUCUCCUUCAAUUUCUCAAGAGCCAAACAUAGCAAAUGGAAUUACUAAGUGAGCGGUGUAGUCGAAGCGUCUGAAUCUUUUAUUGGAGCCAAUGCGUCAUUUGAAGUUCAAACAACAGCGUAGAGUGGCAGUGGUGCUACGGCGAGAUUCGAACAGACUCUCGUGUAGAUUUCAUUUUUCCAUUUAGGUUUCGAGUUUAAAUGUUUCAAUUGAUGACUCUAUAAAGCCCAAAAAAAUUAUAAUAGUAAUAAUAAUAAUAAUAAUAAUCAUCAUCAUCUAGACUUUUAGUACUCAUAUUGUCCAUGAUAUUAAAAGAAAAACAGAAAAAUACACUGUUACAUAAUAAAUAUGACACUUUCACAUAUAAAGUGAUUGUCUGAUAACUCUGCUAAUUAGAACUAAUUAAUUAAAUAUUAAAAUGUAUUUUUUACCCUUAAAUGACGUGUUUUCUCUAUCAUUCUUUGAAUACCAGAGACAAAAUGAGGUAUUAAAAAACUAUAAAGGAUUAAAAUGGUAAAAACAAAUUGUGGGAGGGACUCAAGUGUCAGUCUCCCUUAUUUUUCAAUACAAAUUUGUACUCGAAACUUUAACCCUUAAAUUAUCAUAAUUCUCACAAUAGAUAAGUUAGUUUCCUUAUAGAUUCCGUUAUUAAAACCAAAAGUUAAUUACCAGGAAGUCUCAUCACACGUAACUAAGUAUUUAUUAUCUCUAUCAUAUUUUCUAAUUCCCCACAUUAUUUAAUAUUUUCUAUCUGACAAAAUGGUUGUACAAAUACAUAAUUACAUAAAACUCUCAUUGUAAAAGAAAAUUAUUCGGGAGAGUGCCAAACUAGGGAGGCUGCCACUUUUUUUUCUCAAUCGAGUUUUCGUGUUUAUCACUCACUUAAUAUUUUUAUGGUUUUUAUAUAUAAUACGCAAUUACUUUCUUUAACAGAAAAAUUUAUCUGAGUGAAAAAAAAAAGUUCUUUUCUUUAGAAAUUGGAGUAACAUGAUAUAUUAAAAAAAUUAUAAGAGUAAAUAAUUGGUGAAAUUCGAAAACAAUAGGAGAGGAACGAGCAAAUAACCCGUCAAAGUAGGAAGGUCAUCACAUUAGCGUUGUCUGUCCACUACCGUCUUCAAAUCAUUAAGACUUUAUUGACGUCAUAAGGUAUAAUGAUAAUUUCACCUACGCUUCAAAAGCGUAAUUUGGACAAUAUUCCGUUAGUUUUCUUAACGGUUUGAAGACGAUAGUGGAUAAGUGUAAAAAAAUAUAAAUUUAAGUGGAACACAGUAAAAAAAAUUAAAAAUUAUAUAUUUUUAAAAAAGUGCGAAAAAAAAGGUAGACGGUAAAUAAUUACCGUUAAUCCAUUCAUCGAACACCUUGUUUAUCUAACAAUAAGGUUAGGUGGCAAAGUAUCAUUUUUCACCUCAUGGGUCAUGAAAUUGGAAAUCGGCAUGUCUUUACCACGAUUAAGAUUUCUUUUUUUUUUUAAUCUAGUUAUCACAUCAUGCGUUUAAAUUUUAUUUGGAGUUGUUAUAAUAUAAUCGAUAGAAAUCUUUAACGUGAGAAAGCAGCAGCAUUACCUUGACGUGCGGUUACUGCUGGCAGUGUGAUUGUUAAUAAUGAAGUAUUUAAUGAGAGAAGGUGGCGUGGAUUUUUUAUGGUGUGGAAUUUUCUAGACUUUAUUUGCACUCUUAGAUCAUGCUUAGAUGAAUUGUGGGGUUGCAUUAAAUUUUGAGAUUAAUAAAAUAAUUUAAUUUAAGGUAUGUUUGGUUGUCAUGAAUUAAUAGGAUAAAUAAAAAUUAAUUCAUAACAAUUGGGAUUAUUAGUCUUUAUAUUUAUAUAGGUUUAGGUGAGCUAAAAUUAAAUGAAGAAUUUGUGUCCUCUUUAUCACUAUUUUAUUUUUCAUUUAACCUAAUAUUUUAAUAAAAAUUAAAUAUAGAAGUUAAUUUCAUAAUUUUUUAACCUAUAAUUUUGUUUUAUAUAGAAUAUCAAAAUUUUAUUCAUUAAUUUAAUUAAACUAAUAUUGAAUUUUAAACAUAAAAUAAUAAACUAUUUCUUUGUAGUAGCAUUGAAUAUUAAAUAUUAAAGUCAACAAUUAUCAAUAUAAUUUAAAAAUAUUAUAUUAUUUAAAUUUAUUAAAUUAAAUUAAUAUAGUCCUUUUCAAUAUUGUAACAAAUAAAAUGUGAUAUUAUUUAUAAUUCAAUCUAAUCCAAUUUAAUUUUAAAAGUUAAUUCAAUCAAAUCAUAUCUUCCAAAUGUAACCUUAAGUUAUUAAGGUCUGGGUUUAGUGGUGCAAUAGGGGGACACCUGUUCAAGACUCAAUCGAUGCUCUCCUACACAAAUUAAUAGAAGGUGUAUGUAUCUCUCUAAAUAUUUUUGGAAGUAUAUAUAACUCCUCGGUAGAUCUCAAAUUACACUAUAUAAGCGUAUAAACUUAAGCUAAUAAUAGAUAAUAGGUUGUAAGAUGUAACAAUUUUUUUUUUAAUAAAAAAAGCCUUCCUGUUACUUUGACUGUCCGUGCACUGUUGCACGGGUCGAUAUAAUUGGUCUAUCAUUUUUAUUUGUGUUUAUAAAAAGUUGCAUGAAUAUGAGGCUUUUCAAUAUCAACUCUUAAAAUUAAAAACUCUGAUCGGUCUGGUACUUAUCUUGGCGGCUUUGGGAAUAAUUGGGACGUCUUCGGGCAGCUUUUUUUUUGAGGUGAUAUGCCAUGUUGCUAGUUAUUGAAAAUGCCAUUGCUAGAGGUUGGAAUUAUUCAUGGCAUGAGGUUAUGCUUCAAUUCUUGUUGUUACUUAUUUUGUAAUCUCGAGAAUUGGAUUUAAUUAACUACUGCAUCGUGUGGUGAAUUUCAUGCACUUCAAGAUCAUUCCUGCUUUUCGAGGAGAGACCAAUGUUGUUGCUAAUCGAUUAGCUAAUCUCAAGUGUCAAUUGCAGCUCGCUAACUUGGUCGGUUAGAUAUUUCAUCAUCAGAUAUUAUUAGUCUUCUUUAAGAAAGAUGCUAAUGGAUUUUACUAUUAAUUAAUUUUUUUUAAUUUAUUAACUUGCCUAUUAGAAUGGGUUUUUGUUGCUCUCAUUUGGGUGGUGGAGUGGAUUUUAAAUAGUUUUUUUUUUUAUAUACUGAAAUUUUAGGGGAGGUAAGACGCAAAAAAAAAAUGAAUUUGCACUUUACCCAUCCGCUUAUGUUAAAAAGAAAAAGAAAGAAAGAAUAGACUUUUUGUUUCGUGGAUGCAAUUUAACUGAAAUGGUAAAAUCUCUCCUAUUACAAAUAAGUGAUUUGGGGUUGGAACCUCCCACACGAAUGGGGAAGAAAUCUUUUUGACAUUAGACUAAACAAUAACUAUUAAAAAAAAGUUUUUUGAUUUAUUUAAGUUGUGUCUUUUGAAAUAAUUGUUGUUGGUUGGUUGUAUAAAUAAUUAGAUAUGAAGAGAAAAUGUUUAAUAUUUAAUAAAAUUUAUUAUUAAAAGUGCCUGAAUUUUAAAAGCAGUUAUACAUAUUUGGUAAAUCUUACUGUAAAAUUGUUGUAAGAAUAUAAAUAACUGAAUUAAACAUAAUAUUGAAGCAAUCUUAUUUAGAUAUUUAUAAAUAUGUAUAUAAAAUAUUUUUUUAUUGUGUAUAUAUAAGGAUUAAUAACUAAAAUAAAUAUUUUAUUUUUUAAUUUUGUUAUCUUAAUAUAAUGAGUAGUAAUAAUAAUAAUUUCUUUAAAGUUAAUAAUUUUAUUUCUUAAAUAAUAAGGAUAAGUUUAAAUGUUUAUAAUAUAUAUGAUGAUAUAAAUGAAAUUAUAUCGAGUAUAAAAUUUAUUCACAAAAUCAAAUUUUAAAAAAUUACUGAUUUCAUAAGUUUUUAAAAUCUACUGUAAAAUAAAAUAAUUUUAAAAAAUUCAUUGAACAUUAAAAAUAAUUUUUAAUUUUUUAAAAUUACUUUAAGUAUUUAAAAUAGUCCAAUGGGGGCCUGCCCCACUAUUAAAGCUUCCGUCAACUAUGAUCCAUCUGAAUUAGAAAAAUAUAUCAGAUAAGAUAUUUUAAUAUUUUUUUAAUAGAAUGAUUACUCCAUUAUUAUCCACGUCUUUGUACUUGUCAUUUGCUGCUCCCACAGCCGCCUCAAGGCAGCUGCCAUAAAUUGACCGCCAUCUUUCUUUUUUCUGGUCAACAAGUCAAAAUCUUAUAUUAAUGCAUUAAAGACUUACAAACAUUGUCCAUUAUAAUUGAUUAAGCAGCUCUAUUAUAGUUUAGUUUUUUACGUGAUUAUACCUGUUUUCCUAUUUAUUACUAACAAUUAUUAUUAUAAUAAUUUUUUAAACAAAUUUUUAUUUGACAUCUAACAAUACAAAAAAGCCUAAAUUAAAAUUUUCUCUGAAGGCCAUAAAAGCUCUUGAGCUGGCCCUGACUUCGAUUCAUCCCAUUCCAUCUUUAGCUUAUUUUAUUAUGAUCUAAAAUGAAUGCAAAUAUAUGGGAAACAGAUCAACAAUUAUUGGAUAGGCAUGUCCGUGAAUUAACGGUACAUUUAUUUCCUGAAAUGGGAAUGAGAAUGUACUGGAAUGUUAUUGAUGUGUUUAUGUGAGAGAGAGUAGUUAAGAUGUUAGUGGAGAUUGUGGUGGUGAAUUGUUGAAUUUAGAAGAUGGAAUAAGAAUUAUAAAUCAAUAUAGAUUGUGGUGACUUUUUUUACAAAGAUAAAUAAAUAAAUAAAGGAUGCAAAGAACCCAGAGAAUAAAGAAAAAAAACAAAGGAAGAAGAACAGAAGAGAGAAGGACGAAAAAGAAUUGCAGAAGGAGAUUGAGUUUGGAGAUGGUAAAAGAGGGAGAUAAGAGAUAAGGAUGAUGUGUGACCUGUCAGAUUUGUGUUUAUUGUUUUAUAAUUUAUUUUACCAUUUAUUUUAUAAAACAAGCAAAAUAUGUACAAGUUGUUUUGUAAUUCAUCACUCAAUCUAUUUGAAAAGUUUUAGAAUUUAUUAGUUUAAUAUAUAUUUAAUGAAAAAUUAUGAUAUUUUUUAUAUUUAUAUUAAAAAUGAUGUAAAAAAUUUUAAAAUUUAAUACUUCUAUAAUUAAUUUUUUUUAAGUACUAAGAAAUAUUGUUUUGAAAUAUAUAAUGUAAAUUAAUCACCAAAAAAAUUAAUAUAUAAUGAAAUAUAUAACUCCAAACAUGAUAUAAUUAAAAAUUAAUACAGUACAAUGUAAUACCAAAUGUUGUAUAAUAUUAUUAUAAUUCAAUACUAAUACAAUACAAAAUAAUACAAUAUAACUGUAUUAAAAUAAUACAAUACAACAUAAUAUAAUAGAGUGUGUCAAACGCACCCUUAAAACAUUUCUGCAACAGAAUAAUAUUACAGCAUCGAAUGGAUUCUCUCCUGCUCAGUUCUCACAUGCUUCCUGGUAAUAUGUUUCACACUAGGACAGCCAGUAAGGGCCAUGGUCAACUCAAACUCAUCCUUCAGCAUUUCGAUGACGCGUCUCACCCCAUAUUCCCCUUUUGCAGCAAGGCCGUAGACUACAGGCCUUCCAAUCUGGAGUAACAUAUGACAUACAUUUGUUUAGUAAUCAAAUAAGGACCCGAACAAAAGUAGUACUGCAGUUGAAAUAAAUUUCUAUGUUACCUUUGUGUCCCUGGAAUCAACUGUUAACAAAAGAGAAAAGAAAGGUGGCUCCAGAGUCUCACCACUGAAAUUAAAAAAACUUAAGGGUGAAGUUGUGAAAAGCUUACAAGUACAGCUUGUGCACCGAGGGCCAAUGCCUUGAAAACAUCUGUUCCUCGCCGCACUCCUCCAUCCAUAAGAAUUGGAACUCUUCCUUUAACGGCAUGAACCACCUGCAAGCUCAGGGUUCACAAGUAUAAAAAUGUAUUGGUUACGAUUUCCUUGGUAAAAUCUAUUGUGUAACCCAAAGUUGUCAGGGGACACAUAUCUUAUUCCAAAAUGCUGGUCAUUUCUACAUCGAGCUAGUUAGAUCGAAAAAUGUAUUGUUACAAGAUCUCCAUCAUUAAUACAUGAAACGGCAAGUUCCAUUGUCUACACGUCAGAAAACUAGCAAAAACUACAUGCAUUAGCAUUGUUAUGAGCACCCUAUAGAUUUGCGUCUCCUGUUUCCCGAUUCAUAUGCCUUAAAUUAAAACUCAGAAUAUUAAUUAGGAGAAUUAUGUAAUCCUUAAUAAUAUGAUAUUUCUCAACCUUUCAAGUUAAAUUCAAUGGCAGCAGCAAUGUUGUCAGUUUGGAUUCCCUUUUACAGUCUUAAAAAAAUUUUAGAAUGCAUUCUACUAAUCAACAUUAAUCAAAAUAAACUGACACAUAUUUGUAAUCAAUUCAAUUCUCACAAUUAUUUACGUACUUGUAAAAGUGAAGUAAGUUUAGAUCUAUAUACAAAUCUAGAUCAUAUUGUCUGCAGUUUAGAAAGCUAAAAGUGGUGUGAAAUUUAUAGUCACCUCUUCCAGAGCAGAAAUAGUGGCAGGACUAUAAUCUAACUGUCGAGCUCCGUGAUUGGAGACAAUAAUCCCAGCAACACCUACUUCCACAGCUUUUAUUGCUGAAAAUUUUUAGAAACCAAGCAAUUAACAAAUCUUCAAUUAGGAACUCACAAAAUAAAUGAAAAUAUUUCUGAUGAAAUUCAUAAAGAGAUAGAUAGUGACGUGAGGAGAGGAUAUUUAACAAGAAUAUUUUCAUUUGGAUGAUUGGCAUCUCCAAUUGUACAAACUUUAAUUCUAAGUCUUUAAUCCCACUACCAAAUCACUGCAUAAAUAAACCUCUGGCUUAGAGACUCACAAUGUAUAAAAUGGAAAAGAAUCCUCUUUUAGUCUAAGGCUACAUGGAAAACAAAACAAAGCGAUACUCAUAUCAUCAGAUGGAGCUUUGAUCUUACCAUCUUCACGAGUAAGUAUCCCCUUGAUCAAAAUUGGUAAGUUUGUAAUAGAUCUUAGCCAUUCUAAAUCCUGCAGAAGCAUAUGAUAUUCUUCAGACUCAAAACUUUACAGAGAGUAUUGAGAUCAAUAGCCAACUCAAAACUUCGCAGAAGCAUUUGUUCUAAGUAGCUGAAUAAUAUACACUUAUUUUUUCUUGAUAUAUUUUCCGAGCAAGGGAAGAAACAGCCAGGACAGAUUUUUUCUUGAUAUACAAAAGGUGAAAGACUUCACUGAUCUCUACCUUCCAACUUAAAGAAGCAUCCAUGGUCUCGUUGGCAUCAGCUUCAAAAUUCGAACCUGUAUCCUGUAAAAAGUGUAAUCCAUUAAGUUAAAGUAAAGGAUUAUAGAUAUAGUCUAUGAGUUUAAACAAGCAGUAAAAGUAAAUGCCGGCUGAGAACCAGAAAUAUCAAAAAAUAAAUAAGUGAAACUGUAACACUCACAGAGCUGACUUUGGUUGAUAAGAGGCCUUCCAAAUUCUUCAACGGCGGUGUAAUCAUUCUGCAGAUGUUGUUGAGUGAGAUUCAAAAGACAAUGUUUACUGUACCCAAAUAAAAGGUAAAGGGCACUAUAUAUUUCUUUUGAUGUCACAAUACAAACAUUUGUGUCAUAUCACUAUCCUAAAAGGUUUUUUUAACCAAAGUUUCAAUUCAAUUAUAUGUGGUAGUACUUGGAAUAUAUAGAACCAAAGAUAAAAAAGAUGAUAAUUCACUUGUUCUUUAUAUCUGCCUCCCUUCUACCAAGUCUUGGAGUAUCAGCAGUUAGGACAAGAGCCUUAAAACCAUUCCUUUCAGCUCUCUGCACUAGAGUAGCUGUUAUAUCUCGUUUCUUGAAUACCUAUUCACAAAAAGGACGCCAUAGUGUGGUUCAAACCCUUUAAGUAACAUUAUAAGAAAGAAGAAAAUAGUUGUUGCUCAAAAAAAUGAGCAGUUUCCUAAUAAGAAUAGGAGGGGAAAAUAAAAAAUAAAAAAGGAAAAAGAAAAAAGAAAGAGCCCAAGACAAGCCAACUACAUAUAAUUGAUAGAAGCGAACAGCAUUGGAGCUGGCCGCAACCUCCUCUAUGGAGCUGCUAGAUGUGAAGGAUAAAACCAUUAUGGUGUUACAUGAAGCUGCUGCUCUGGCUGUGGCUACCUCUCCUGGAAUAUAUACAAACACUUAAUGUUAGAAUUUGAACAAAAUCUUCAUGAUGUACAUCUUGAAGAAGGAAUAAGACCUUCAGGGUUUGCAAGCUUAUGCAAAGCCGUUGGAGCAAUGAUAAUGGGAGCCGAGAUUUUGUAAUCAAGUAUGGUAGUCGAUAAAUCAAUUCUGCUGACAUCGACAAGAAUUCUUGGCCGAAACCUGAGAGAUAUAAUAAAAAUCCAUUUGAAAGUUCUGAAUCUAGUUCUAAGAUUACUCAUUGAAACUCAUUUGUCUUACGUAAUUCUAUGAAAGGCUUCCACAUUCUCUUUUAGGGUAUGUUCAUCUUCUGCUCCACCAGCGUAGAAAUCAUAAUACAUUUUUGGAAGGGCCAGCCUUGCCAAUUCUUGGAACUCAUUCAAAUUAACAGGUUCAGCUGCCAUUUGGAACCUGCAAACGUGGACAUUAAUCAACUUUUCAAGUNNNNNNNNNNNNNNNNNNNNNNNNNNNNNNNNNNNNNNNNNNNNNNNNNNNNNNNNNNNNNNNNNNNNNNNNNNNNNNNNNNNNNNNNNNNNNNNNNNNNNNNNNNNNNNNNNNNNNNNNNNNNNNNNNNNNNNNNNNNNNNNNNNNNNNNNNNNNNNNNNNNNNNNNNNNNNNNNNNNNNNNNNNNNNNNNNNNNNNNNNNNNNNNNNNNNNNNNNNNNNNNNNNNNNNNNNNNNNNNNNNNNNNNNNNNNNNNNNNNNNNNNNNNNNNNNNNNNNNNNNNNNNNNNNNNNNNNNNNNNNNNNNNNNNNNNNNNNNNNNNNNNNNNNNNNNNNNNNNNNNNNNNNNNNNNNNNNNNNNNNNNNNNNNNNNNNNNNNNNNNNNNNNNNNNNNNNNNNNNNNNNNNNNNNNNNNNNNNNCCUCUCCGAAUGAAAAAAAUUUCAAGAGUACUCGUCCCGUGGAGAUUUUUGCCAUCCCUAAUACUAGUUGGCCACAAGAAGGAACGUUUGGACAUAAAAGUGGCGAUGUCCAGCUCAUUUGGCUUUGGUGGACACAAUUCAUCCAUCUUAUUCGCCUCCUUUAAAGGAAAUUGAUUAAUGAUUAUGGCUAAAAAAACCCUGACCACACGCGUGUACUUGGUGUUAGUCAAUUUACAGCAAUUAAUUAACAUCCAAAUCCAAGUGCGUGCAUCGUGGAACUCUGCCAAGACGUAAUUUUGUAUUGGCAUGACAUUUGGGUAUUGUUCUAAGACCACUUCGUUUGAUAUGUAUUGAUUAUUAUGAUGCCGCAGUUUAAAAAAGACACGUAUGUUGAUCGAUCCUUGUGAAAUGAGAAUAAAAGUUGAGAUUUUGAUAAAAUUUAGGACACUUUUCAAACCAAAUGAUACUUGUCUAUUAUCGUUUUAGUUUCAUCAUCCAACUGAAGUGAACCAUAUAUUUGAUUAUACGAACGAGGUAAUCCAUAGGUAAUAAUAGUUAGAGGUGGCAUAGCCGUGAUGGUGAAUUUUUUUGUUAUAAAAAAUUUGGGAUGAAGUUUAGUAUACCAAAAACUAAUUUUUGACUUGAACUAUUAGCAUUUUUUUUAAUCUCAUUAAAUUCUUAUUUUAUUAUAAUUACAUAUAAGGAUAAAUAUAAAUAAAAUUGAUACUACUUAUAUUUUUCAGUUUCUCACUUAAAUUUAUUUAUAUUUACAAUAUAUUAUAUUUUUUUUCUCUCUUCUCAAUCUAUAUAAUUGAUUCUUGCACAAACUUAAAAUAUUGAUCUUUUUUAUAUUAAUCAUUUUUAUGUUUGGGAAGUUAUUUUUUUAUUGAGAAAGAAAGUUUGAAUAGAAUAAUAGAGAUAUCAAGAUUUAAAUAAAAUAAUACUGUAAAAAACAAAUUAACUGUGAGAAAGUUACAGAAAAUAAAAGUUUUACAAAUGAAAAGAGUCUUUUUAGGGGAAAAAAAAGGAAAAAGUAUUUUUGACAUUACGUGGAAGAUUUUGUAGAGGUGGCCGCAGAUCAACUCUUAAUUCUCUCUCGAAAUGAAUUUCUCUUGAACAACAUUUAAGUGAGAAAUUGGAUUAAUUAAGAAUAUACAAAUUAUAAAUGAGUUAAUCUCAAUAUUAUCACUAUUUAAACACGUGCCUCUUUCCCAAAAACUAUGAGAAGAGACAGAUUGAUUGGUCAAGUUAUGGAUGGCUCAGGGUUAUCUUAAGCUGGAGGGAAGGGAAAAUAUGGAGUUAAGAGGAGAAAAGUACUUUAGAAUCUUAGCCUCAUGCUCUUUAUUCCCAGAUUUUCAAAGAAAUGAGUUUGAUGGUAAAAUAAUAAGGUGCCAGAUGCACUCCAUAGUGCAUGAUUUUGCUCAGUCUUACAGAAAGUGAUAGUUUGAAUGCAGAGGUCAAGGAUUCUGGUUACAAGUGUCAAUUGGAGUCUUCUCAUGAAAAAAUUCAGAAUUUAAUGAUAAUGUUUGAAAGUGAUGACCUCUUUCCUAUUUCAGUUUACACUCAAAAAAAACCGCGGAGCCUUGUGGUUGAGCGUGAAGGGUAUUUCAAAGGGCAUAGUUCUGUCUGAGGUGUUUGAUCAGUUGGCGUGUCUGAGGACACUGGAUUUGAGUAAUCAUGAUAGUGUUUGGUGUAAAGUGAUUGAAGUGGUUCCCAGAGGAAUAAAAGGAUUAAUACAUUUAAGGUACCUUAACUAGUCUAACAACAAAAAGAUAAAAGCUUGCCUGAGAUGUUGUGCAAGUUGUAUAAUUUACAAACCUUGGAGCUCAGUUGGCGUAGCAGUCUCAGAAAUUUGCCUCAAGGGAUGGGAAGUUGAUCAACCUGAGGCAUGGAGAAAAUGUUGGGACUCCACUUAGCUACAUGCCAACGGGAAUUGAAAGAUGCAGUUAGUUUUUGGACACUAAGUGAAUUCAUUGUCGGUGGUGGAACUGAUGAAAAGGGCUAGUAAACUUGAAUGUCUGAAAAGCCUGAUCCAUCUUCUAGGGAUCUCUUACGAUAAAAAAUGCUGGGAAAUGUGAAUAAGGAUGAGAUUUGCAAAGCAGAACUUUCGGAGAUGGAAAAUCUCCUGGCUGUGUGUAUAAGUUUCGAUAAUAAUGAUAAAAAGGGAGGAAGAAUAAGGAUGAUGAAGACCGUCUUGAGGGCUUACAGUUGCCUCAAAAUCUUGAGACCUUAAACAUUUUUGACCAUAGAGGUAACAGGAUUUCUCGCCUGAGAAUAAUGUUGUUAUCUAAGUUGCAGUCUAUGGCAUUAGAUUGGUGCAUGAACUUAGUGCAAUUGCCUCCUUUGGGAGAAUUGGCAGCCCUUGAGUCACUGAUUACACUAAGGAUGAAGAACUUGUAAAAGGUGGGGAAUGAAUUUUUGGGAACAGAUCAAAGCCGUGGGAAACCAUUUGUUGCUUUUUCUAAAUUGAAUUGACUUGUUUUUCAGAAAAUGAAAGUAUGGAAAGAGUGGAAAUAUAAAAUGAGGAAGAGGGCAUCAUUAUGUAAUCAUGCCAAGUCUUCAUUCAUUAACAAUUGGAUUCUGCCCCAAAUUAGAGACACUUCCGGAUGACCACUGUCCUUGAACACUAUAUUCGAAGAUCAUUUCAUGUCCUGUGCUGGAAAAUUGUUAUAAAAAGGGAACUGCAGAGAGGCAAAAGAACUCUCAUAUCAAGAUUUCUUAUGCAGUUGAACUGCAACAGACACAGAGGUAACUCUUCUCCUUGUUUUUACAUAGUUUGAUUUUUAGAAUUCGUUUUGGUUUUUCAUGAUCCUGUAAUCUUUUGUCGUAAAUAAAAUAGAUAUGCAACCACCUGCAUUUGUAAAAGAGAUGUUAAUUUAAUGUAUUGUUCUAUUCACUUAGAAAUUGUGGAUGACAUCACUGGAUAAUUUGAUCUUAUUGGUUUUUUUUCCAGGAGAAUGGUGUGAGAAGUAUUCUGGAGAGGAAUCAAAUGUUAUAUCUCGUGCCCCAUUUCAGAUAUCAAAUAUUUGGUAAGUUAAUCUCUUCAACUCACACAUAUCACAUUCCUGGUCUUGGUUUUCAGAAUGUAGAACUGGCUACUAGGCACAGCAACUAAUCAAUAGAAUUGUAAAAUUAUAUCUCAGUGCAGAGCAAUUACUUCAAAGUCUCCAAAGAUGAUGUGGGCUGAGACAGAACCUUCCCCUUUGAAACAGAAAGAAAACGUUAUCUUAAAACUUUUUCUUAUAGUUAUGUUACAGUUUGAAUUCCUUUACUACUUCAUAAUCAUUAUUCUUCAAUCUUGAGGUGUUUCUCAGAGUGUAAUACAACUUUCAAAAAAUGGAGAUUGCAUUGAAGUCAGAAAGGGUGCGAAAGGCCCUCGAGGGAAGAAAGUUGAUAGGACGCUUUGGAUGGGCUAUUGUUAAACCUCGAAUAGUAUGAUAUUGUCUGCUUUAAACAAAAGUCAGGUUAUUUUUUUUCUUCUUUAGUUCUCGUCAAGAGGCAUCAUACUAUUUAAGAAAUGAAUUUGUAUAUGUAGUCUAGCAUUGCUUUUAAAGCAGGCAAUGCAGGACAUUGACUUCCAAUCCUUAUCAUCCUUGAUAUUUCCAAAUCUUGAAUCACAUAUUGAAGCUCUGCAAGGAAAAGGAAAUGGAUCAUUCCAAGUUACCAGUUGCAGGAUUAUGGCAGAUCCGAUUACAAAGACAUCAGGGAAUAGCGGCUGGAUUGCCUGAUUCUAAAUGAUAUUCAUGAAUCAUGACCCUUUGUUCUGUCACUUGGUUUCAGGAACUAGCCACUGGAAAUAUUUUCGUUGCUCUUUUUAUGUCUGUCUUUCACAGCGAAGGUAGAAGGUUGAAGCACAAGAGGGUGAUUGAUAUGCUGUUAACUUUAUCUUAGUACAAUAUACCAAAACAAUUUAUUUUAAUGUAGCAACUGGUAAGUCCUUUUAUUUUCAUGUUAUUCAGCAAUCGAUGCUUUUUGUUCCUCUGUGGCCUCUUUUGUAUUCGAUACAAUAUACAUAAGUUCGACGAAGGGUUCCACUAAACUUCAUUUUUCUGUGAUGCUCACAUAAUUUUGAUAUGGGAGCAGGAGUUGAAGCCACCAAUUCAGACUGAAACGUUGAGCCAAAUUUUACCAAAAUUUCACUUUGUUUGAUGCAUUUGCAUAUUAGGCACUUUAGGUCCGUGGCCUUUUGCUAGCUUGUCCUAGAUGGUGCAAGGAAACAGAGUCACAAAAUCAAUCGACAAAAGAAUGUUAUAAACCAUAAAAACUUCAAAUUUAAUUAGUUUAAAUGAUUGCUCAUGGUUUAAUUCAUCCAUACAUAUAAGGUUGUGUUUGGCACCCAGCAUUACUCCUCAUUAUAGCCUUGUAUUGUAUUAAAUUAAUACAAUACUAUGUUUGGCAAAAAAUGAACUUUGUAUUAGACCACAUUGUAACACACCAAACGCCGCACAAAUUAAACCCGUGAGGGGGGGUCGUAAUUAGGCCGCAUUGCAUUAGAAUAGAAAGCAAAUUCUUUUUCUUCACGAUCUCAGCCACAACCACAAACCAAAUCUUCUCUUCGUAAAACCCAAAGUAAAUUUUUUCUCUCAAACUCACUCGCCUUUCACUCACAUAUUUUCCUCCCUUCUCCUUCAAUUUCUCAAGAGCCAAACAUAGCAAAUGGAAUUACUAAGUGAGCGGUGUAGUCGAAGCGUCUGAAUCUUUUAUUGGAGCCAAUGCGUCAUUUGAAGUUCAAACAACAGCGUAGAGUGGCAGUGGUGCUACGGCGAGAUUCGAACAGACUCUCGUGUAGAUUUCAUUUUUCCAUUUAGGUUUCGAGUUUAAAUGUUUCAAUUGAUGACUCUAUAAAGCCCAAAAAAAAUAAUAGUAAUAAUAAUAAUAAUAAUAAUCAUCAUCAUCUAGACUUUUAGUACUCAUAUUGUCCAUGAUAUUAAAAGAAAACAGAAAAAUACACUGUUACAUAAUAAAUAUGACACUUUCACAUAUAAAGUGAUUGUCUAUAACUCUGCUAAUUAGAACUAAUUAAUUAAAUAUUAAAAUGUAUUUUUUACCCUUAAAUGACGUGUUUUCUCUAUCAUUCUUUGAAUACCAGAGACAAAAUGAGGUAUUAAAAAACUAUAAAGGAUUAAAAUGGUAAAAACAAAUUGUGGGAGGGACUCAAGUGUCAGUCUCCCUUAUUUUUCAAUACAAAUUUGUACUCGAAACUUUAACCUUAAAUUAUCAUAAUUCUCACAAUAGAUAAGUUAGUUUCCUUAUAGAUUCCGUUAUUAAAACCAAAAGUUAAUUACCAGGAAGUCUCAUCACACGUAACUAAGUAUUUAUUAUCUCUAUCAUAUUUUCUAAUUCCCCACUUAUUUUAAUAUUUUCUAUCUGACAAAAUGGUUGUAAAAUACAUAAUUACAUAAAACUCUCAUUGUAAAAGAAAAUUAUUCGGGAGAGUGCCAAACUAGGGAGGCUGCCACUUUUUUUUCUCAAUCGAGUUUUCGUGUUUAUCACUCACUUAAUAUUUUUAUGGUUUUUAUAUUAUAAUACGCAAUUACUUCUUUAACAGAAAAUUUAUCUGAGUGAAAAAAAAAGUUCUUUUCUUUAGAAAUUGGAGUAACAUGAUAUAUUAAAAAAAUUAUAAGAGUAAAUAAUUGGUGAAAUUCGAAAACAAUAGGAGAGGAACGAGCAAAUAACCCGUCAAAGUAGGAAGGUCAUCACAUUAGCGUUGUCUGUCCACUACCGUCUUCAAAUCAUUAAGACUUUAUUGACGUCAUAAGGUAUAAUGAUAAUUUACCUACGCUUCAAAAGCGUAAUUUGGACAAAUAUUCCGUUAGUUUUUCUUAACGGUUUGAAGACGAUAGUGGAUAAGUGUAAAAAAAUAUAAAUUUAAGUGGAACACAGUAAAAAAAAUUAAAAUUAUAUAUUUUUAAAAAAGUGCGAAAAAAAAGGUAGAACGGUAAUAAUACCGUUAAUCCAUUCAUCGAACACCUUGUUUAUCUAACAAUAAGGUUAGGUGGCAAAGUAUCAUUUUUCACCUCAUGGGUCAUGAAAUUGGAAAUCGGCAUGUCUUUACCACGAUUAAGAUUUCUUUUUUUUUUUAAAUCUAGUUAUCACAUCAAUGCGUUUAAAUUUUAUUUGGAGUUGUUAUAAUAUAAUCGAUAGAAAUCUUUAACGUGAGAAAGCAGCAGCAUUACCUUGACGUGCGGUUACUGCUGGCAGUGUGAUUGUUAAUAAUGAAGUAUUUAAUGAGAGAAGGUGGGUGGAUUUUUUUAUGGUGUGGAAUUUUCUAGACUUUAUUUGCACUCUUAGAUCAUGCUUAGAUGAAUUGUGGGGUUGCAUUAAAUUUUGAGAUUAAUAAAAUAAUUUAAUUUAAGGUAUGUUUGGUUGUCAUGAAUUAAUAGGAUAAAUAAAAAUUAAUUCAUAACAAUUGGGAUUAUUAGUCUUUAUAUUUAUAUAGGUUUAGGUGAGCUAAAAUUAAAUGAAGAAUUUGUGUCCUCUUUAUCACUAUUUUAUUUUUCAUUUAACCUAAUAUUUUAAUAAAAUUAAAUAUAGAAGUUAAUUUCAUAAUUUUUUAACCUAUAAUUUUGUUUAUAUAGAAUAUCAAAUUUUAUUCAUUAAUUUAAUUAAACUAAUAUUGAAUUUUAAACAUAAAAUAAUAAACUAUUUCUUUGUAGUAGCAUUGAAUAUUAAAUAUUAAAGUCAACAAUUAUCAAUAUAAUUUAAAAUAUUAUAUUAUUUAAAUUUAUUAAAUUAAUUAAUAUAGUCCUUUUCAAUAUUGUAACAAAUAAAAUGUGAUAUUAUUAUAAUUCAAUCUAAUCCAAUUUAAUUUUAAAAGUUAAUUCAAUCAAAUCAUAUCUUCCAAAUGUAACCUUAAGUUAUUAAGGUCUGGGUUUAGUGGUGCAAUAGGGGACACCUGUUCAAGACUCAAUCGAUGCUCUCCUACACAAAUUAAUAGAAGGUGUAUGUAUCUCUCUAAAUAUUUUUGGAAGUAUAUAUAACUCCUCGGUAGAUCUCAAAUUACACUAUAUAAGCGUAUAACUUAAGCUAAUAAUAGAUAAUAGGUUGUAAGAUGUAACAAUUUUUUUUUUUAAUAAAAAAAGCCUUCUGUUACUUUGACUGUCCGUGCACUGUUGCACGGGUCGAUAUAAUUGGUCUAUCAUUUUUAUUUGUGUUUAUAAAAAGUUGCAUGAAUAUGAGGCUUUUCAAUAUCAACUCUUAAAAUUAAAAACUCUGAAUCGGUCUGGUACUUAUCUUGGCGGCUUUGGGAAUAAUUGGGACGUCUUCGGGCAGCUUUUUUUUUGAGGUGAUAUGCCAUGUUGCUAGUUAUUGAAAAUGCAUUGCUAGAGUUGGAAUUAUUCAUGGCAUGAGGUUAUGCUUCAAUUCUUGUUGUUACUUAUUUUGUAAUCUCGAGAAUUGGAUUUAAUUAACUACUGCAUCGUGUGGUGAAUUUCAUGCACUUCAAGAUCAUUCCUGCUUUUCGAGGAGAGACCAAUGUUGUUGCUAAUCGAUUAGCUAAUCUCAAGUGUCAAUUGCAGCUCGCUAACUUGGUCGGUUAGAUAUUUCAUCAUCAGAUAUUAUUAGUCUUCUUUAAGAAAGAUGCUAAUGGAUUUUACUAUUAUUAAUUUUUUUAAUUUAUUAACUUGCCUAUUAGAAAUGGGUUUUUGUUGCUCUCAUUUGGGUGGUGGAGUGGAUUUUAAAUAGUUUUUUUUUUUAUAUACUGAAAAUUUUAGGGGAGGUAAGACGCAAAAAAAAAAUGAAUUUGCACUUUACCAUCCGCUUAUGUUAAAAGAAAAAGAAAGAAGAAUAGACUUUUUGUUUCGUGGAUGCAAUUUAACUGAAAUGGUAAAAUCUCCUAUUACAAAGAAGUGAUUUGGGGUUGGAACCUCCCACACGAAUGGGGAAGAAAUCUUUUGACAUUAGACUAAACAAUAACUAUUAAAAAAAAGUUUUUUGAUUUAUUUAAGUUGUGUCUUUUGAAAUAAUUGUUGUUGGUUGGUUGUAUAAUAAUUAGAUAUGAAGAGAAAAUGUUUAAUAUUUAAUAAAAUUUAUUAUUAAAAGUGCCUGAAUUUUAAAAGCAGUUAUACAUAUUUGGUAAAUCUUACUGUAAAAUUGUUGUAGAAUAUAAAUAACUGAAUUAAACAUAAUAUUGAAGCAAUCUUAUUUAGAUAUUAUAAAUAUGUAUAUAAAAUAUUUUUUUAUUGUGUAUAUAUAAGGAUUAAUAACUAAAAUAAAUAUUUUAUUUUUAAUUUUGUUAUCUUAAUAUAAUGAGUAGUAAUAUAAUAAUUUCUUUAAAGUUAAUAAUUUUAUUUCUUAAAUAAUAAGGAUAAGUUUAAAUGUUUAUAAUAUAUAUGAUGAUAUAAAUGAAAUUAUAUCGAGUAUAAAAUUUAUUCACAAAAUCAAUUUUAAAAAUUACUGAUUUCAUAAGUUUUAAAAUCUACUGUAAAAUAAAAUAAUUUUAAAAAAUUCAUUGAACAUUAAAAUAAUUUUUAAUUUUUUAAAAUUACUUUAAGUAUUUAAAAUAGUCCAAUGGGGCCUGCCCCACUAUUAAAGCUUCCGUCAACUAUGAUCCAUCUGAAUUAGAAAAUAUAUCAGAUAAGAUAUUUUAAUAUUUUUUUAAUAGAAUGAUUACUCCAUUAUUAUCCACGUCUUUGUACUUGUCAUUUGCUGCUCCCACAGCCGCCUCAAGGCAGCUGCCAUAAAUUGACCGCCAUCUUUCUUUUUUCUGGUCAACAAGUCAAAAUCUUAUAUUAAUGCAUUAAAGACUUACAAACAUUGUCCAUUAUAAUUGAUUAAGCAGCUCUAUUAUAGUUUAGUUUUUUACGUGAUUAUACCUGUUUUCCUAUUUAUUACUAACAAUUAUUAUUAUAAUAAUUUUUUAAAACAAUUUUUAUUUGACAUCUACAAUACAAAAAAGCCUAAAUUAAAAUUUUCUCUGAAGGCCAUAAAAGCUCUUGAGCUGGGCCUGACUUCGAUUCAUCCAUUCCAUCUUUAGCUUAUUUUAUUAUGAUCUAAAAUGAAUGCAAAUAUAUGGGAAACAGAUCAACAAUUAUUGGAUAGGCAUGUCCGUGAAUUAACGGUACAUUUAUUUCCUGAAAUGGGAAUGAGAAUGUACUGGAAUGUUAUUGAUGUGUUUAUGUGAGAGGAGUAGUUAAGAUGUUAGUGGAGAUUGUGGUGGUGAAUUGUUGAAUUUAGAAGAUGGAAUAAGAAUUAUAAAUCAUAUAGAUUGUGGUGACUUUUUUACAAAGAUAAAUAAAUAAAUAAAGGAUGCAAAGAACCCAGAGAAUAAAGAAAAAAAAACAAAGGAAGAAGAACAGAAGAGAGAAGGACGAAAAAGAAUUGCAGAAGGAGAUUGAGUUUGGAGAUGGUAAAAGAGGGAGAUAAGAGAUAAGGAUGAUGUGUGACCUGUCAGAUUUGUGUUUAUUGUUUUAUAAUUUUAUUUUACCAUUUAUUUUAUAAAACAAGCAAAAUAUGUACAAGUUGUUUGUAAUUCAUCACUCAAUCUAUUUGAAAAGUUUAGAAUUUAUUAGUUUAAUAUAUAUUUAAUGAAAAAUUAUGAUAUUUUUUAUAUUUAUAUUAAAAAUGAUGUAAAAAAUUUAAAAUUUAAUACUUCUAUAAUUAAUUUUUUUUUAAGUACUAAGAUAUUGUUUUGAAAUAUAUAAUGUAAAUUAAUCACCAAAAAAUUAAUAUAUAAUGAAAUAUAUAACUCCAAACAUGAUAUAAUUAAAUUAAUACAGUACAAUGUAAUACCAAUUGUUGUAUAAUAUUAUUAUAAUUCAAUACUAAUACAAAAAAAUAAUACAAUAUAACUGUAUUAAAAUAAUACAAUACAACAUAAUAUAAUAGAGUGUGUCAAACGCACCCUUAAACAUUUCUGCAACAGAAUAAUAUUACAGCAUCGAAUGGAUUCUCUCCUGCUCAGUUCUCACAUGCUUCCUGGUAAUAUGUUUCACACUAGGACAGCCAGUAAGGGCCAUGGUCAACUCAAACUCAUCCUUCAGCAUUUCGAUGACGCGUCUCACCCAUAUUCCCUUUUGCAGCAAGGCCGUAGACUACAGCCUUCCAAUCUGGAGUAACAUAUGACAUACAUUUGUUUAGUAAUCAAAUAAGGACCCGAACAAAAGUAGUACUGCAGUUGAAAUAAAUUUCUAUGUUACCUUUGUGUCCCUGGAAUCAACUGUUAACAAAAGAGAAAAGAAAGGUGGCUCCAGAGUCUCACCACUGAAAUUAAAAAAACUUAAGGGUGAAGUUGUGAAAAGCUUACAAGUACAGCUUGUGCACCGAGGGCCAAUGCUUGAAAACAUCUGUUCCUCGCCGCACUCCUCCAUCCAUAAGAAUUGGAACUCUUCCUUUAACGGCAUGAACCACCUGCAAGCUCAGGGUUCACAAGUAUAAAAUGUAUUGGUUACGAUUUCCUUGGUAAAAUCUAUGUGUAACCCAAAGUUGUCAGGGGACACAUAUCUUAUUCAAAAUGCUGGUCAUUUCUACAUCGAGCUAGUUAGAUCGAAAAAUGUAUUGUUACAAGAUCUCCAUCAUUAAUACAUGAAACGGCAAGUUCCAUUGUCUACACGUCAGAAAACUAGCAAAAACUACAUGCAUUAGCAUUGUUAUGAGCACCCUAUAGAUUUGCGUCUCCUGUUUCCCGAUUCAUAUGCCUUAAAUUAAAACUCAGAAUAUUAAUUAGGAGAAUUAUGUAAUCCUUAAUAAUAUGAUAUUUCUCAACCUUUCAAGUUAAAUUCAAUGGCAGCAGCAAUGUUGUCAGUUUGGAUUCCCUUUUACAGUCUUAAAAAAUUUUAGAAUGCAUUCUACUAUCAACAUUAAUCAAAAUAAACUGACACAUAUUUGUAAUCAAUUCAAUUCUCACAAUUAUUUACGUACUUGUAAAAGUGAAGUAAGUUUAGAUCUAUAUACAAAUCUAGAUCAUAUUGUCUGCAGUUUAGAAAGCUAAAAGUGGUGUGAAAUUUAUAGUCACCUCUUCCAGAGCAGAAAUAGUGGCAGGACUAUAAUCUAACUGUCGAGCUCCGUGAUUGGAGACAAUAAUCCCAGCACACCUACUUCCACAGCUUUAUUUGCUGAAAAUUUUAGAACCAGCAAUUAACAAAUCUUCAAUAGGAACUCACAAAUAAAUGAAAAUAUUUCUGAUGAAAUUCAUAAAAGAGAUAGAUAGUGACGUGAGGAGAGGAUAUUUAACAAGAAUAUUUUCAUUUGGAUGAUUGGCAUCUCCAAUUGUACAAACUUUAAUUCUAAGUCUUUAAUCCACUACCAAAUCACUGCAUAAAUAAACUCUGGCUUAGAGACUCACAAUGUAUAAAUGGAAAAGAAUCCUCUUUUAGUCUAAGGCUACAUGGAAAACAAAACAAAGCGAUACUCAUAUCAUCAGAUGGAGCUUUGAUCUUACCAUCUUCACGAGUAAGUAUCCCUUGAUCAAAAUUGGUAAGUUUUGUAAUAGAUCUUAGCCAUUCUAAAUCCUGCAGAAGCAUAUGAUAUUCUUCAGACUCAAAACUUUACGAGAGUAUUGAGAUCAAUAGCCACUCAAAACUUCGCAGAAGCAUUUGUUCUAAGUAGCUGAAUAAUAUACACUUAUUUUUUCUUGAUAUAUUUCCGAGCAAGGGAAAGAAACAGCAGGACAGAUUUUUUCUUGAUAUACAAAAGGUGAAAGACUUCACUGAUCUCUACCUUCCAACUUAAAGAAGCAUCCAUGGUCUCGUUGGCAUCAGCUUCAAAAUUCGAACCUGUAUCCUGUAAAAAGUGUAAUCCAUUAAGUUAAAGUAAAGGAUUAUAGAUAUAGUCUAUGAGUUUAAACAAGCAGUAAAAGUAAAUGCCGGCUGAGAACCAGAAAUAUCAAAAAUAAAUAAGUGAAACUGUAACACUCACAGAGCUGACUUUGGUUGAUAAGAGGCCUUCCAAAUUCUUCAACGGCGGUGUAAUCAUUCUGCAGAUGUUGUUGAGUGAGAUUCAAAAGACAAUGUUUACUGUACCAAAUAAAAGGUAAAGGCACUAUAUAUUUCUUUUGAUGUCACAAUACAACAUUUGUGUCAUAAUCACUAUCCUAAAAGGUUUUUUUUAACCAAAGUUUCAAUUCAAUUAUAUGUGGUAGUACUUGGAAUAUAUAGAAACCAAAGAUAAAAAAGAUGAUAAUUCACUUGUUCUUUAUAUCUGCCUCCUUCUACAAGUCUUGGAGUAUCAGCAGUUAGGACAAGAGCCUUAAAACAUUCCUUUCAGCUCUCUGCACUAGAGUAGCUGUUAUAUCUCGUUUCUUGAAUACCUAUUCACAAAAGGAGCCAUAGUGUGGUUCAAACCCUUUAAGUAACAUUAUAAGAAAGAAGAAAAUAGUUGUUGCUCAAAAAAUGAGCAGUUUCCUAAUAAGAAUAGGAGGGGAAAAUAAAAAUAAAAAGGAAAAAGAAAAAAGAAAGAGCCCAAGACAAGCCAACUACAUAUAAUUGAUAGAAGCGAACAGCAUUGGAGCUGGCCGCAACCUCCUCUAUGGAGCUGCUAGAUGUGAAGGAUAAAACCAUUAUGGUGUUACAUGAAGCUGCUGCUCUGGCUGUGGCUACCUCUCCUGGAAUAUAUACAAACACUUAAUGUUAGAAUUUGAACAAAAUCUUCAUGAUGUACAUCUUGAAGAAGGAAUAAGACUUCAGGGUUUGCAAGCUUAUGCAAAGCGUUGGAGCAAUGAUAAUGGGAGCCGAGAUUUUGUAAUCAAGUAUGGUAGUCGAUAAAUCAAUUCUGCUGACAUCGACAAGAAUUCUUGCCGAAACCUGAAGAGAUAAUAAAAAAUCCAUUUGAAAGUUCUGAAUCUAGUUCUAAGAUUACUCAUUGAACUCAUUUGUCUUACGUAAUUCUAUGAAAGGCUUCCACAUUCUCUUUUAGGGUAUGUUCAUCUUCUGCUCCACCAGCGUAGAAAUCAUAAUACAUUUUUGGAAGGCCAGCCUUGCCAUUCUUGGAACUCAUUCAAAUUAACAGGUUCAGCUGCCAUUUGGAACCUGCAAACGUGGACAUUAUCAACUUUUCAAGUAAAUCAAUCCAGAUGCUACAUACUGCAUGCAUAAAUCAGAAUAAUUCAUUUCAAGAAACUUAAAGCAGCAUUUGGAUAUAGCAAGAAAAUCCUGUAAUAGGUGACACUUCUCUUCGGAAGUGAACAAAUGGUAUGCCAACAUUGCAUAGGCCCCCCCCCCCCCCAAAAAAAAAAAAGAAAAAGAAAAAGAAAAACGGUUCUCAGGAUCAUUCUAUAACACACAAACACUUGUUUAAAAUAAUAACGGAAAUAUUGUUUUCUUUCUGUAAAUUUUCAGUGUACAGUGUUCUCGUCAUACCGUCAAGAAAUAUACCGUAUACAAUAAAGUAACAUUUAAGCGCUUUCUUAUCCGUCAAUGAUCCAUUAUACAUGUAAUUUCUAAGAUACAUACAGACAUACAUACACACUAGCACAUGAUAACAGCUAAAUAUGGUUCACAUCUAUAAAAUCAGUAAGAUACGAUGAUCCAAUAUAGCAUUUCACGUACUUAAGCUCACAGGCAAGUUCAUCAUGAUCAAAACAUGCUUACGAAUCACGACAUCAGAAAAAAAAAAAAAAAAAAAAAAAAAAACUUCCUGAAAGAGAGAGAAUAAAGAUACCGAUUCGAAUAACUAUUAAUCAAACUUAAACAAUAGAAUUUUGUAAAGAAAUGAACCCGAAUGACUAAAAUUUCAACUGAUGAAGGUCGAUCGUGAGGCAGAUUACAACAGUGAGUCGGGGCAGAGUCAAAGUCAAGAAGCAUAUAAAGGAUUAGUAUUACUUAAUUUGUCAUUUGACGUGUUUCCUACAAUUAUAGUCUUAUCAACUUCUAUCAUUUUUCAGAAUUUUGUUGUUUUCUUGGGCUUGCACGGUGGAUACAGGCUCCGUAUAUUCCUUACGUUUUUAUUAUUUUUUACUUCCUCUUCUUGGAUUGUACCAUCACUUGCCUUCUCUCUAUAUUAUAUAUAUAUGGACAAAAAUAAAAUGAAGUGAGAAUCAAGAUUAAUUUAGUUACCAUAGAUAAAGCGUUUGAUUUUAAAUAUUUUUUUUUACAAAAUUUAAGAAAUUUAAACAAAAAAUCUUUAUAUCCAUUCUUUUGUUGAAACAGGCAGUCGUUCACACGAAAACUGAUUGCCAUUGGGCUUCCUGUCUAGAGUCCAGACAGUAAGAACUGGGCCUGCUGUAGGAUGGCCCAAAUAGAACAAAACGCAUAUAAUGAGCAAAAUCAAAGCAUUCAACAUUGUAACCGAUCUAUAUGUUUUUGCAUAUUCAGUUUCCACGCCUUUCAAACUGUCUAGGCAGCCGUGAUGCCACCUGUACUCGGGUCUUUGAUCACCAUUGUCUCUCUGUUCAUGCAAGAAUUUGCAGUUGUCUCCAAAAUAGCAUCUUCCAUUAGGAUAAUAUGGGCAGAGCGUUGUUUCAUGCAGCUUUUGUUCUGAGGUGGACAUGUUGGAGGAUGAUGGUUAAUGCUUUUCAAUCGCUGUCUAUUGAUUGGAGCCUCCCUAAUGCUGCUGAGCUUAACAAUAGGAUCUUGAGGAACCUGUGUCUGGCAAUUAUUCUGCAUUACUGCCAAUUCCUGCUCUAACCAUUGUGAAAGCAGCUUUGCUGCUUUUUGGAAUCAGCAGAAAGCUGAGGUUGAGCUGCCAGCUUCCUAUGAUCGACUGAUAAGCUUGGUUUUUGAGGUUGAACUGAUAACUGCUGAGGUCCAUUCUUCAUUUGAUUAGAGUCCAUAUUCAAGGCUAGCUGUUGUUGAGACAGAAUCUCCACUUUUUCUGUUACAAUCAAAUUCAUUUGACACUGGCAACUUUUUGGAACCUGAUUUAUGGACAUCCUGAAGAACAAACAACAUAAGCAUGUAAAUCUUAAAAUAACAUGAUUUAUGGACAUCUUAAAAUAACAUGGUUGAGUUUCUUCAUUUUUAUAUGAAAUUAUACCUAUUUGCUUUCAGCAAUUUCCUCUUUUCCUUUCCAUGGAUCCGUAUUUCUCUAUUAGACCUUGCAAUAAAACCCCUUGAGUGCUUCUCCAUCAAAACCUUGUGUCUCUCCCCUUCGUCUUCCCAUCUCUGACAGCAACAAUAUGGGCAAAGCUGGGUUAAUAUUUAAGGAUCCACAGAUAAUAGGAAGAAGAAACUUCAGCUCUGUGCAAACCUGUCUCAAGGUCUUCAGACGAUAAAGGUUUCGACCUUUAAUUAGGAGAGGACGAAGUGGAGGGAGUGGCUUCUCCCCUUUGCUCCAAAGUACCUCUAUCUGAAAGAUUAGCCAAAAACAGCACUUUAAUCACAAUAAUUAUUUUGACGGAAUUUAAAAUACAGCAUCUGCCUGUUCAAAAUUUACUCCUAGAAAAUUUAUCUCAAUUGUAGGUAAACCAACUAGAGAAAUUCCAUCCAUCAAAUUUGCUUGAAAUGGUCAUACCGCAAAAUCAAGAAAUAUCAUUACCCUAAUGCAUAAACCCAGAUAACUGAACAGUUUUAAGACAUGACAGUUCAAGAAUAGUCAUAGAUUUUCUAUGAUUAAUGGCUUUCCAAUAAACUCCCAAAGUCCAAAUUAUAUAGGGCUUAUGACUCACUGUAAAUGUAUGUUGUUGCUUGGCUGCUCCAUAGCUUUCUUUCACAAUGCGGCCAGCAACAAUCCUUUUGCCACAUGGGGGACCACUUGCACUACAAGCUGCUAUGUUAAACCUAAUUAAUGAUGUAGAAAUAAGGUAAGAACAAAACACUCAACGGUUGCAAAACAACUUUGAGAAAAGAGCACAGCGAUACUAGCAAAUCUAAAGUAUUUGUUGUCAUUGUUACAUUUGUAAAUCAAAUAAUCUAUUGACAGAAUUACUAUUCUUUGGUAGAUAUAGGAGGUUAAACGCCAGUUUCAUUGAACUUAUAUUUAAGGCAGAUAAACAUAGAGUCAUAGACCAAUAGCUUACAUUUUGUAAACAUUCUGUUUAAACAUAACAACGUCACCUGUGCAAGCGUCACCUGCAUUUAAUCGGUACGNCAGAACUUUCGGAGAUGGAAAAUCUCCUGGCUGUGUGUAUAAGUUUCGAUAAUAAUGAUAAAAAGGGAGGAAGAAUAAGGAUGAUGAAGACCGUCUUGAGGGCUUACAGUUGCCUCAAAAUCUUGAGACCUUAAACAUUUUUGACCAUAGAGGUAACAGGAUUUCUCGCCUGAGAAUAAUGUUGUUAUCUAAGUUGCAGUCUAUGGCAUUAGAUUGGUGCAUGAACUUAGUGCAAUUGCCUCCUUUGGGAGAAUUGGCAGCCCUUGAGUCACUGAUUACACUAAGGAUGAAGAACUUGUAAAGGUGGGGAAUGAAUUUUUGGGAACAGAUCAAAGCCGUGGGAAACCAUUUGUUGCUUUUUCUAAAUUGAAUUGACUUGUUUUUAGAAAAUGAAAGUAUGGAAAGAGUGGAAAUAUAAAAUGAGGAAGAGGGCAAUUAUGUAAUCAUGCCAAGUCUUCAUUCAUUAACAAUUGGAUUCUGCCCCAAAUUAGAGACACUUCCGGAUGACCACUGUCCUUGACACUAUAUUCGAAGAUCAUUUCAUGUCCUGUGCUGGAAAAUUGUUAUAAAAAGGGAACAGCAGAGAGGCAAAAGAACUCUCAUAUCAAGAUUUCUUAUGCAGUUGAAUGCAACAGACACAAGGUAACUCUUCUCCUUGUUUUUACAUAGUUUGAUUUUUAGAAUUCGUUUUUGGUUUUUCAUGAUCCUGUAAUCUUUUGUCGUAAAUAAAAUAGAUAUGCAACCACCUGCAUUUGUAAAGAGAUGUUAAUUUAAUGUAUUGUUCUAUUCACUUAGAAAUUGUGGAUGACAUCACUGGAUAAUUUGAUCUUAUUGGUUUUUUUUCCAGGAGAAUGGUGUGAGAAGUAUUCUGGAGAGGAAUCAAAUGUUAUAUGUCGUGCCCAUUUCAGAUAUCAAAUAUUUGGUAAGUUAAUCUCUUCAACUCACACAUAUCACAUUCCUGGUCUUGGUUUUCAGAAUGUAGAACUGGCUACUAGGCACAGCAACUAAUCAAUAGAAUUGUAAAAUUAUAUCUCAGUGCAGAGCAAUUACUUCAAAGUCUCCAAAGAUGAUGUGGGCGAGACAGAACCUUCCCCUUUGAAACAGAAAGAAAACGUUAUCUUAAAACUUUUGCUUAUAGUUAUGUUACAGUUUGAAUUCCUUUACUACUUCAUAAUCAUUAUUCUUCAAUCUUGAGGUGUUUCUCAGAGUGUAAUACAACUUUCAAAAAAUGGAGAUUGCAUUGAAGUCAGAAAGGGUGCGAAAGGCCCUCGAGGGAAGAAAGUUGAUAGGACGCUUUGGAUGGCUAUUGUUAAACCUCGAAUAGUAUGAUAUUGUCUGCUUUAAACAAAAGUCAGGUUAUUUUUUUUCUUCUUCAGUUCUCGUCAAGAGGCAUCAUACUAUUUAAGAAAUGAAUUUGUAUAUGUAGUCUAGCAUUGCUUUUAAAGCAGGCAAUGCAGGACAUUGACUUCCAAUCCUUAUCAUCCUUGAUAUUUCCAAAUCUUGAAUCACAUAUUGAAGCUCUGCAAGGAAAAGGAAAUGGAUCAUUCCAAGUUACCAGUUGCAGGAUGAUGGAAGAUCCGAUUACAAGACAUCAGGGAAUAGUGGCUGGAUUGCCUGAUUCUAAAUGAUAUUCAUGAAUCAUGACCCUUUGUUCUGUCACUUGGUUUCAGGAACUAGCCACUGGAAAUAUUUUCGUUGCUCUUUUUAUGUCUGUCUUUCACAGCGAAGGUAGAAGGUUGAAGCACAAGAGGGUGAUUGAUAUGCUGUUAACUUUUAUCUUAGUACAAUAUACCAAAACAAUUUAUUUUAAUGUAGCAACUGGUAAGUCCUUUUAUUUUCAUGUUAUUCAGCAAUCGAUGCUUUUUGUUCCUCUGUGGCCUCUUUUGUAUUCGAUACAAUAUACAUAAGUUCGACGAAGGGUUCCACUAAACUUCAUUUUUCUGUGAUGCUCACAUAAUUUUGGAUAUGGAGCAGGAGUUGAAGCCACCAAUUCAGACUGAAACGUUGAGCCAAAUUUUACCAAAAUUUCACUUUGUUUGAUGCAUUUGCAUAUUAGGCACUUUAGGUCCGUGCCUUUUGCUAGCUUGUCCUAGAUGGUGCAAGGAAACAGAGUCACAAAAUCAAUCGACAAAAAGAUGUUAUAAACCAUAAAAUACUUCAAAUUUAAUUAGUUUAAAUGAUUGCUCAUGGUUUAAUUCAUCCAUACAUAUAAGGUUGUGUUUGGCACCCAGCAUUACUCCUCAUUAUAGCCUUGUAUUGUAUUAAAUUAAUACAAUACUAUGUUUGGCAAAAAAUGAACUUUGUAUUAGACCACAUUGUAACACACCAAACGCCGCACAAAUUAAACCCGUGAGGGGGGGUCGUAAUUAGGCCGCAUUGCAUUAGAAUAGAAAGCAAAUUCUUUCUUCUUCACGAUCUCAGCCACAACCACAAACCAAAUCUUCUCUUCGCAAAACCCAAAGUAAAUUUUUUCUCUCAAACUCACUCGCCUUUCACUCACAUAUUUUCCUCCUUCUCCUUCAAUUUCUCAAGAGCCAAACAUAGCAAAUGGAAUUACUAAGUGAGCGGUGUAGUCGAAGCGUCUGAAUCUUUUAUUGGAGCCAAUGCGUCAUUUGAAGUUCAAACAACAGCGUAGAGUGGCAGUGGUGCUACGGCGAGAUUCGAACAGACUCUCGUGUAGAUUUCAUUUUUCCAUUUAGGUUUCGAGUUUAAAUGUUUCAAUUGAUGACUCUAUAAAGCCCAAAAAAAUUAUAAUAGUAAUAAUAAUAAUAAUAAUAAUAAUCAUCAUCAUCUAGACUUUUAGUACUCAUAUUGUCCAUGAUAUUAAAAGAAAAACAGAAAAAUACACUGUUACAUAAUAAAUAUGACACUUUCACAUAUAAAGUGAUUGUCUAUAACUCUGCUAAUUAGAACUAAUUAAUUAAAUAUUAAAAUGUAUUUUUUACCUUAAAUGACGUGUUUUCUCUAUCAUUCUUUGAAUACCAGAGACAAAAUGAGGUAUUAAAAAACUAUAAAGGAUUAAAAUGGUAAAAACAAAUUGUGGGAGGGACUCAAGUGUCAGUCUCCCUUAUUUUUCAAUACAAAUUUGUACUCGAAACUUUAACCCUUAAAUUAUCAUAAUUCUCACAAUAGAUAAGUUAGUUUCCUUAUAGAUUCCGUUAUUAAAACCAAAAGUUAAUUACCAGGAAGUCUCAUCACACGUAACUAAGUAUUUAUUAUCUUUAUCAUAUUUUCUAAUUCCCCACAUUAUUUAAUAUUUUCUAUCUGACAAAAUGGUUGUAAAAUACAUAAUUACAUAAAACUCUCAUUGUAAAAGAAAAUUAUUCGGGAGAGUGCCAAAAUAGGGAGGCUGCCACUUUUUUUUCUCAAUCGAGUUUUCGUGUUUAUCACUCACUUAAUAUUUUUAUGGUUUUUAUAUAUAAUACGCAAUUACUUUCUUUAACAGAAAAAUUUAUCUGAGUGAAAAAAAAAAGUUCUUUUCUUUAGAAAUUGGAGUAACAUGAUAUAUUAAAAAAAUUAUAAGAGUAAAUAAUUGGUGAAAUUCGAAAACAAUAGGAGAGGAACGAGCAAAUAACCCGUCAAAGUAGGAAGGUCAUCACAUUAGCGUUGUCUGUCCACUACCGUCUUCAAAUCAUUAAGACUUUAUUGACGUCAUAAGGUAUAAUGAUAUUUCACUACGCUUUAAAAGCGUAAUUUGGACAAUAUUCCGUUAGUUUUCUUAACGGUUUGAAGACGAUAGUGGAUAAGUGUAAAAAAAUAAAUUUAAGUGGAGCACAGUAAAAAAUUAAAAAUUAUAUAUUUUUAAAAAGUGCGGGUAGACGGUAAAUAAUUACCGUUAAUCCAUUCAUCGAACACCUUGUUUAUCUAACAAUAAGGUUAGGUGGCAAAGUAUCAUUUUUCACCUCAUGGGUCAUGAAAUUGGAAAUCGGCAUGUCUUUACGAUUAAGAUUUCUUUUUUUUUUAAUCUAGUUAUCACAUCAUGCGUUUAAAUUUUAUUUGGAGUUGUUAUAAUAUAAUCGAUAGAAAUCUUUAACGUGAGAAAGCAGCAGCAUUACCUUGACGUGCGGUUACUGCUGGCAGUGUGAUUGUUAAUAAUGAAGUAUUUAAUGAGAGAAGGUGGCGUGGAUUUUUUAUGGUGUGGAAUUUUCUAGACUGUAUUUGCACUCUUAGAUCAUGCUUAGAUGAAUUGUGGGGUUGCAUUAAAUUUUGAGAUUAAUAAAAUAAUUUAAUUUAAGGUAUGUUUGGUUGUCAUGAAUUAAUAGGAUAAAUAAAAAUUAAUUCAUAACAAUUGGGAUUAUUAGUCUUUAUAUUUAUAUAGGUUUAGGUGAGAUAAAAUUAAAUGAAGAAUUUGUGUCCUCUUUUCACUAUUUUAUUUUUCAUUUAACCUAAUAUUUUAAUAAAAAUUAAAUAUAGAAGUUAAUUUCAUAAUUUUUUAACCUAUAAUUUUGUUUUAUAUAGAAUAUCAAAAUUUUAUUCAUUAAUUUAAUUAAUAAUAUUGAAUUUUAAACAUAAAAUAAUAAACUAUUUCUUUGUAGUAGCAUUGAAUAUUAAAUAUUAAAGUCAACAAUUUCAAUAUAUUUAUAUUAUUAUUAAAUUUAUUAAAUUAAAUUAAUAUAGUCCUUUUCAAUAUUGUAACAAAUAAAAUGUGAUAUUUUUAUAAUUCAAUCUAAUCCAAUUUAAUUUUAAAAGUUAAUUCAAUCAAAUCAUCUUUCCAAAUGUAACCUGUUAUUAAGGUCUGGGUUUAGUGGCAAUAACAAGACUCAAUCGAUGCUCUCCUACACAAAUUAAUAGAAGGUGUAUGUAUCUCUCUAAAUAUUUUUGGAAGUAUAUAUAACUCCUCGGUAGAUCUCAAAUUACACUAUAUAAGCGUAUAAACUUAAGCUAAUAAUAGAUAAUAGGUUGUAAGAUGUAACAAUUUUUUUUUUAAUAAAAAAAGCCUUCCUGUUACUUUGACUGUCCGUGCACUGUUGCACGGGUCGAUAUAAUUGGUCUAUCAUUUUUAUUUGUGUUUUAUAAAAGUUGCAUGAAUAUGAGGCUUUUCAAUAUCAACUCUUAAAAUUAAAAACUCUGAUCGGUCUGGUACUUAUCUUGGCGGCUUUGGGAAUAAUUGGGACGUCUUCGGGCAGCUUUUUUUUUGAGGUGAUAUGCCAUGUUGCUAGUUAUUGAAAAUGCCAUUGCUAGAGGUUGGAAUUAUUCAUGGCAUGAGGUUAUGCUUCAAUUCUUGUUAUUACUUAUUUUGUAAUCUCGAGAAUUGGAUUUAAUUAACUACUGCAUCGUGUGGUGAAUUUCAUGCACUUCAAGAUCAUUCCUACUUUUCGAGGAGAGACCAAUGUUGUUGCUAAUCGAUUAGCUAAUCUCAAGUGUCAAUUGCAGCUCGCUAACUUGGUCGGUUAGAUAUUUCAUCAUCAGAUAUUAUUAGUCUUCUUUAAGAAGAUGCUAAUGGAUUUACUAUUAAUUAAUUUUUUUUAAAUUUAUUAACUUGCCUAUUAGAAUGGGUUUUUGUUGCUCUCAUUUGGGUGGUGGAGUGGAUUUUAAAUAGUUUUUUUUUUUUAUAUACUGAAAUUUUAGGGAGGUAAGACGCAAAAAAAAAAUGAAUUUGCACUUUACCCAUCGCUUAUGUUAAAAAGAAAAAGAAAGAAAGAAUAGACUUUUUGUUUCGUGGAUGCAAUUUAAACUGAAAUGGUAAAAUCUCCUAUUACAAAUAAGUGAUUUGGGUUGGAACCUCCACACGAAUGGGGAAGAAAUCUUUUUGACAUUAGACUAAACAAUAACUAUUAAAAAAAAAGUUUUUUUGAUUUAUUUAAGUUGUGUCUUUUGAAAUAAUUGUUGUUGGUUGGUUGUAUAAAUAAUUAGAUAUGAAGAGAAAAUGUUUAAUAUUUAAUAAAAUUUAUUAUUAAAAGUGCUGAAUUUAAAAGCAGUUAUACAUAUUUGGUAAAUCUUACUGUAAAAUUGUUGUAAGAAUAUAAAUAACUGAAUUAAACAUAAUAUUGAAGCAAUCUUAUUUAGAUAUUUAUAAAUAUGUAUAUAAAUAUUUUUUUAUUGUGUAUAUAUAGGAUUAAUAACUAAAAUAAAUAUUUUAUUUUUUAAUUUUGUUAUCUUAAUAUAAUGAGUAGUAAUAAUAAUAAUUUCUUUAAAGUUAAUAAUUUUAUUUCUUAAAUAAUAAGGAUAAGUUUAAAUGUUUAUAAUAUAUAUGAUGAUAUAAAUGAAAUUAUAUCGAGUAUAAAAUUUAUUCACAAAAUCAAAUUUUAAAAAAUUACUGAUUUCAUAAGUUUUUAAAAUCUACUGUAAAAUAAAAUAAUUUUAAAAAAUUCAUUGAACAUUAAAAAUAAUUUUUAAUUUUUUAAAAUUACUUUAAGUAUUUAAAAUAGUCCAAUGGGGGCCUGCCCACUAUUAAAGCUUCCGUCAACUAUGAUCCAUCUGAAUUAGAAAAAUAUAUCAGAUAAGAUAUUUUAAUAUUUUUUUAAUAGAAUGAUUACUCCAUUAUUAUCCACGUCUUUGUACUUGUCAUUUGCUGCUCCACAGCCGCCUCAAGGCAGCUGCCAUAAAUUGACCGCCAUCUUUCUUUUUUUCUGGUCAACAAGUCAAAAUCUUAUAUUAAUGCAUUAAAGACUUACAAACAUUGUCCAUUAUAAUUGAUUAAGCAGCUCUAUUAUAGUUUAGUUUUUUACGUGAUUAUACCUGUUUUCCUAUUUAUUACUAACAAUUAUUAUUAUAAUAAUUUUUUAAACAAAUUUUUAUUUGACAUCUAACAAUACAAAAAGCCUAAAUUAAAAUUUUCUCUGAAGGCCAUAAAAGCUCUUGAGCUGGCCCUGACUUCGAUUCAUCCCAUUCCAUCUUUAGCUUAUUUUAUUAUGAUCUAAAAUGAAUGCAAAUAUAUGGGAAACAGAUCAACAAUUAUUGGAUAGGCAUGUCCGUGAAUUAACGGUACAUUUAUUUCCUGAAAUGGGAAUGAGAAUGUACUGGAAUGUUAUUGAUGUGUUUAUGUGAGAGAGAGUAGUUAAGAUGUUAGUGGAGAUUGUGGUGGUGAAUUGUUGAAUUUAGAAGAUGGAAUAAGAAUUAUAAAUCAAUAUAGAUUGUGGUGACUUUUUUACAAAGAUAAAUAAAUAAAUAAAGGAUGCAAAGAACCCAGAGAAUAAAGAAAAAAAAACAAAGGAAGAAGAACAGAAGAGAGAAGGACGAAAAAGAAUUGCAGAAGGAGAUUGAGUUUGGAGAUGGUAAAAGAGGGAGAUAAGAGAUAAGGAUGAUGUGUGACCUGUCAGAUUUGUGUUUAUUGUUUUAUAAUUUAUUUUACCAUUUAUUUUAUAAAACAAGCAAAAUAUGUACAAGUUGUUUUGUAAUUCAUCACUCAAUCUAUUUGAAAAGUUUAGAAUUUAUUAGUUUAAUAUAUAUUUAAUGAAAAAUUAUGAUAUUUUUUAUAUUUAUAUUAAAAAUGAUGUAAAAAAUUUUAAAAUUUAAUACUUCUAUAAUUAAUUUUUUUUAAGUACUAAGAAAUAUUGUUUUGAAAUAUAUAAUGUAAAUUAAUCACCAAAAAAAUUAAUAUAUAAUGAAAUAUAUAACUCCAAACAUGAUAUAAUUAAAAAUUAAUACAGUACAAUGUAAUACCAAAUGUUGUAUAAUAUUAUUAUAAUUCAAUACUAAUACAAUACAAAAUAAUACAAUAUAACUGUAUUAAAAUAAUACAAUACAACAUAAUAUAAUAGAGUGUGUCAAACGCACCCUUAAACAUUUCUGCAACAGAAUAAUAUUACAGCAUCGAAUGGAUUCUCUCCUGCUCAGUUCUCACAUGCUUCCUGGUAAUAUGUUUCACACUAGGACAGCCAGUAAGGGCCAUGGUCAACUCAAACUCAUCCUUCAGCAUUUCGAUGACGCGUCUCACCCCAUAUUCCCCUUUUGCAGCAAGGCCGUAGACUACAGGCCUUCCAAUCUGGAGUAACAUAUGACAUACAUUUGUUUAGUAAUCAAAUAAGGACCCGAACAAAAGUAGUACUGCAGUUGAAAUAAAUUUCUAUGUUACCUUUGUGUCCCUGGAAUCAACUGUUAACAAAAGAGAAAAGAAAGGUGGCUCCAGAGUCUCACCACUGAAAUUAAAAAAACUUAAGGGUGAAGUUGUGAAAAGCUUACAAGUACAGCUUGUGCACCGAGGGCCAAUGCCUUGAAAACAUCUGUUCCUCGCCGCACUCCUCCAUCCAUAAGAAUUGGAACUCUUCCUUUAACGGCAUGAACCACCUGCAAGCUCAGGGUUCACAAGUAUAAAAUGUAUUGGUUACGAUUUCCUUGGUAAAAUCUAUUGUGUAACCCAAAGUUGUCAGGGGACACAUAUCUUAUUCCAAAAUGCUGGUCAUUUCUACAUCGAGCUAGUUAGAUCGAAAAAUGUAUUGUUACAAGAUCUCCAUCAUUAAUACAUGAAACGGCAAGUUCCAUUGUCUACACGUCAGAAAACUAGCAAAAACUACAUGCAUUAGCAUUGUUAUGAGCACCCUAUAGAUUUGCGUCUCCUGUUUCCCGAUUCAUAUGCCUUAAAUUAAAACUCAGAAUAUUAAUUAGGAGAAUUAUGUAAUCCUUAAUAAUAUGAUAUUUCUCAACCUUUCAAGUUAAAUUCAAUGGCAGCAGCAAUGUUGUCAGUUUGGAUUCCCUUUUACAGUCUUAAAAAAAUUUUAGAAUGCAUUCUACUAAUCAACAUUAAUCAAAAUAAACUGACACAUAUUUGUAAUCAAUUCAAUUCUCACAAUUAUUUACGUACUUGUAAAAGUGAAGUAAGUUUAGAUCUAUAUACAAAUCUAGAUCAUAUUGUCUGCAGUUUAGAAAGCUAAAAGUGGUGUGAAAUUUAUAGUCACCUCUUCCAGAGCAGAAAUAGUGGCAGGACUAUAAUCUAACUGUCGAGCUCCGUGAUUGGAGACAAUAAUCCCAGCAACACCUACUUCCACAGCUUUUAUUGCUGAAAAUUUUAGAAACCAAGCAAUUAACAAAUCUUCAAUUAGGAACUCACAAAAUAAAUGAAAAUAUUUCUGAUGAAAUUCAUAAAAGAGAUAGAUAGUGACGUGAGGAGAGGAUAUUUAACAAGAAUAUUUUCAUUUGGAUGAUUGGCAUCUCCAAUUGUACAAACUUUAAUUCUAAGUCUUUAAUCCCACUACCAAAUCACUGCAUAAAUAAACCUCUGGCUUAGAGACUCACAAUGUAUAAAUGGAAAAGAAUCCUCUUUUAGUCUAAGGCUACAUGGAAAACAAAACAAAGCGAUACUCAUAUCAUCAGAUGGAGCUUUGAUCUUACCAUCUUCACGAGUAAGUAUCCCCUUGAUCAAAAUUGGUAAGUUUGUAAUAGAUCUUAGCCAUUCUAAAUCCUGCAGAAGCAUAUGAUAUUCUUCAGACUCAAAACUUUACAGAGAGUAUUGAGAUCAAUAGCCAACUCAAAACUUCGCAGAAGCAUUUGUUCUAAGUAGCUGAAUAAUAUACACUUAUUUUUUCUUGAUAUAUUUUCCGAGCAAGGGAAAGAAACAGCCAGGACAGAUUUUUUCUUGAUAUACAAAAGGUGAAAGACUUCACUGAUCUCUACCUUCCAACUUAAAGAAGCAUCCAUGGUCUCGUUGGCAUCAGCUUCAAAAUUCGAACCUGUAUCCUGUAAAAAGUGUAAUCCAUUAAGUUAAAGUAAAGGAUUAUAGAUAUAGUCUAUGAGUUUAAACAAGCAGUAAAAGUAAAUGCCGGCUGAGAACCAGAAAUAUCAAAAAAUAAAUAAGUGAAACUGUAACACUCACAGAGCUGACUUUGGUUGAUAAGAGGCCUUCCAAAUUCUUCAACGGCGGUGUAAUCAUUCUGCAGAUGUUGUUGAGUGAGAUUCAAAAGACAAUGUUUACUGUACCCAAAUAAAAGGUAAAGGGCACUAUAUAUUUCUUUUGAUGUCACAAUACAAACAUUUGUGUCAUAUCACUAUCCUAAAAGGUUUUUUUAACCAAAGUUUCAAUUCAAUUAUAUGUGGUAGUACUUGGAAUAUAUAGAACCAAAGAUAAAAAAGAUGAUAAUUCACUUGUUCUUUAUAUCUGCCUCCCUUCUACCAAGUCUUGGAGUAUCAGCAGUUAGGACAAGAGCCUUAAAACCAUUCCUUUCAGCUCUCUGCACUAGAGUAGCUGUUAUAUCUCGUUUCUUGAAUACCUAUUCACAAAAAGGACGCCAUAGUGUGGUUCAAACCCUUUAAGUAACAUUAUAAGAAAGAAGAAAAUAGUUGUUGCUCAAAAAAAUGAGCAGUUUCCUAAUAAGAAUAGGAGGGGAAAAUAAAAAAUAAAAAAGGAAAAAGAAAAAAGAAAGAGCCCAAGACAAGCCAACUACAUAUAAUUGAUAGAAGCGAACAGCAUUGGAGCUGGCCGCAACCUCCUCUAUGGAGCUGCUAGAUGUGAAGGAUAAAACCAUUAUGGUGUUACAUGAAGCUGCUGCUCUGGCUGUGGCUACCUCUCCUGGAAUAUAUACAAACACUUAAUGUUAGAAUUUGAACAAAAUCUUCAUGAUGUACAUCUUGAAGAAGGAAUAAGACCUUCAGGGUUUGCAAGCUUAUGCAAAGCCGUUGGAGCAAUGAUAAUGGGAGCCGAGAUUUUGUAAUCAAGUAUGGUAGUCGAUAAAUCAAUUCUGCUGACAUCGACAAGAAUUCUUGGCCGAAACCUGAGAGAUAUAAUAAAAAUCCAUUUGAAAGUUCUGAAUCUAGUUCUAAGAUUACUCAUUGAAACUCAUUUGUCUUACGUAAUUCUAUGAAAGGCUUCCACAUUCUCUUUUAGGGUAUGUUCAUCUUCUGCUCCACCAGCGUAGAAAUCAUAAUACAUUUUUGGAAGGGCCAGCCUUGCCAAUUCUUGGAACUCAUUCAAAUUAACAGGUUCAGCUGCCAUUUGGAACCUGCAAACGUGGACAUUAAUCAACUUUUCAAGUAAAUCAAUCCCAGAUGCUACAUACUGCAUGCAUAAAUCAGAAUAAUUCAUUUCAAGAAACUUAAAGCAGCAUUUGGAUAUAGCAAGAAAAUCCUGUAAUAGGUGACACUUCUCUUCGGAAGUGAACAAAUGGUAUGCCAACAUUGCAUAGGCCCCCCCCCCCCCAAAAAAAAAAAGAAAAAGAAAAAGAAAAACGGUUCUCAGGAUCAUUCUAUAACACACAACACUUGUUUAAAAUAAUAACGGAAAUAUUGUUUUCUUUCUGUAAAUUUUCAGUGUACAGUGUUCUCGUCAUACCGUCAAGAAAUAUACCGUAUACAAUAAAGUAACAUUUAAGCGCUUUCUUAUCCGUCAAUGAUCCAUUAUACAUGUAAUUUCUAAGAUACAUACAGACAUACAUACACACUAGCACAUGAUAACAGCUAAAUAAUGGUUCACAUCUAUCAAAAUCAGUAAGAUCACGAUGAUCCAAUAUAGCAUUUCACGUACUUAAGCUCACAGGCAAGUUCAUCAUGAUCAAAACAUGCUUACGAAUCACGACAUCAGAAAAAAAAAAAAAAAAAAAAAACUUCCUGAAAGAGAGAGAAUAAAGAUACCGAUUCGAAUAACUAUUAAUCAAACUUAAACAAUAGAAUUUUGUAAAGAAAUGAACCCGAAUGACUAAAAAUUUCAACUGAUGAAGGUCGAUCGUGAGGCAGAUUACAACAGUGAGUCGGGGGCAGAGUCAAAGUCAAGAAGCAUAUAAAGGAUUAGUAUUACUUAUUUGUCAUUUGACGUGUUUCCUACAAUUAUAGUCUUAUCAACUUCUAUCAUUUUUCAGAAUUUUGUUGUUUUCUUGGGCUUGCACGGUGGAUACAGGCUCCGUAUAUUCCUUACGUUUUUAUUAUUUUUACUUCCUCUUCUUGGAUUGUACCAUCACUUGCCUUCUCUCUAUAUAUAUAUAUAUGGACAAAAAUAAAAUGAAGUGAGAAUCAAGAUUAAUUUUAGUUACCAUAGAUAAAGCGUUUGAUUUUAAAUAUUUUUAUUUUACAAAAUUUAGAAAUUUAACAAAAAAUCUUUAUAUCCAUUCUUUUGUUGAAACAGGCAGUCGUUCACACGAAAACUGAUUGCCAUUGGGCUUCCUGUCUAGAGUCCAGACAGUAAGAACUGGGCCUGCUGUAGGAUGGCCCAAAUAGAACAAAACGCAUAUAAUGAGCAAAAAUCAAAGCAUUCAACAUUGUAACCGAUCUAUAUGUUUUUGCAUAUUCAGUUUCCACGCCUUUCAAACUGUCUAGGCAGCCCGUGAUGCCACCUGUACUCGGGUCUUUGAUCACCAUUGUCUCUCUGUUCAUGCAAGAAUUUGCAGUUGUCUCCAAAAUAGCAUCUUCCAUUAGGAUAAUAUGGGCAGAGCUGUUGUUUCAUGCAGCUUUGUUCCUGAGGUGGACAUGUUGGAGGAUGAUGGUUAAUGCUUUUCAAUCGCUGUCUAUUGAUUGGAGCCUCCCUAAUGCUGCUGAGCUUAACAAUAGGAUCUUGAGGAACCUGUGUCUGGCAAUUAUUCUGCAUUACUGCCAAUUCCUGCUCUACCAAUUGUGAAAGCAGCUUUGCUGCUUUUUUGGAAUCAGCAGAAAGCUGAGGUUGAGCUGCCAGCUUCCUAUGAUCGACUGAUAAGCUUGGUUUUUGAGGUUGAACUGAUAACUGCUGAGGUCCAUUCUUCAUUUGAUUAGAGUCCAUAUUCAAGGCUAGCUGUUGUUG
rnacentral:lncRNA from 1 species